AACCAUUCCUAAAUUGUUUUUGAAGCUUCAUGUUGCGUUUAUCCAGUUUGUAAAGCCUGGAACUAAGUUCCAUGUGGACACUUCUUGCGGCAUCUGAGGAUCCCCUUCUGCUAGGUAGUGCAGCAUCAUUUAAGGCGCCUUUGUUAAUGGUGUUGAUUCUUUCUCAUGGACGGCAAAUAACUCAGCGAAGCUUUAUGGUUCCCAAAGUGAUGGUCCUCAUUGUUGGACCUUUUUCAGCGCUGCAGCUUAUGGAAAAUGAAACAAGGUUCCGCAGAUCUGUUUGUGCAUAAAUGUGUGUCUUGUUUAAUUACUUGUUUUUACAUGAUUUGUUAUAGAAUUGCUGAACUCGACUGUUAACUAAAGCCAAUUAAUCAAGUCGAAUUGAUAAAGAAUAGCCAAUUACGAAGAACACUGAGCUGAACAGUUAGAGAUCAAUUUAACCAAGAACAGACGAAUAAUGAAGAACAGCACUCAAGGAUUAUGUGGUUCAGUACCAAGAUACCCAUAUAAGCCAACUGGGCUUAAAGCUUUUAUAUAAGCUUUUAAAAGUGCAUAUUGUUCAAAUACAAAAAGUAAAAUCAUUUGAGACAAUUCAUAUGGCUUCCCUUGAGUGAAAAAUAGUCAUAUUACUAUUUAAACUGACAUGAUCUGUUCUUCCAGUUUAUUCAAAGAAUUAUGAGAAGAACCUUAGGUAUGUUAACUAAAAAAUGCCCAAAAUGGACUAUUCAUAUUCAUGCCAUUGAAUCCUAGGUAUGUUAAUUUUUAACUCCAAUUAAAUGCUCUAAUUUUCUUCACCCUUUUUAGCGUGUGUUCCAUAAUUCAUGCUUUCUUCUUCCCCUUUUAAUUUUUUCUUCUUCUUCUGUUUUAGCUUCCAUAAUAUUAGGAAUUAGUUGUUAUUGAUUUCAGAGAAAGGAAUUGUUCUAUUUAGAUCCUAAGAGGGGCAGUCCUGAUCCUGAUUAUGUACUCAUUUCCAUUCGACACCAUUCAUAUUUAUAGGUUUCUUCAAUAUAUUUUAAAGAUAACUACUGUAGUUAUUUCAUACAAUGCCAUGACACUAUCGACAGCAUAUGAUAAAUAGUAAAGAAAAAUGACAUUAUAGAUCUAAGAUGAGAUUUGCGGAGUAAAAUAAAUUACUUUACCUAAAUGCAGUGUGGCUAUUACUUGAACUAAAACAAAUGAGAUUUGUCACUAAGUUUUUGGUUUUUAACUGUGACUAGACCCCGCAACAACUAGGAAAUGUAGAGUGUGACUAUUAUGUCAUGGGUUACAAGGAGUACAUAAUCGCAGACUUUGGUUUGCUAAUGAACAGUGUUAUUGAUAAUUAAAUAAUAUCACAGGUUUGUUUUAUAGUAUAUACGUGGCAUUGUGUUGGAAGUUUGACGACAUUGAUUUUAUGGUUAACACUUCAAUAGGACACGUACGCUCGUGCUGAAAUAAAAGGUUCCUAUGGAGGGGGCUAAUCAUUUUUCUAAAAUCAUUGUCGCAUCAUCAAAAUGGUUAGUAUAAAUACGAAACGUUACGUGCACCUUAUUAUUACUUCUAAUUAAGAGUUUGGUGAAAUUUGAGUUGUAUUGUGAAACAGUAAUGUUUGACUUGAUGUUGUGAUGCCAUUUUUAGUUCUUACAGGAAUGAGUUGAUGUCGUUAUCUGUGUGAAUAUUUUUAGCUCUUGCGAUAAUGCUAUUUGAUUUCUGAUAAUUAGUGAUUGGGCUUGGAAAGUGAAACAAGGUUUUGCAGUCAGUUCAUAAAUAAAUACAUGUUUACAUUCACACACGUUUUUAAUCAAUUGCUUAGGGCACUAGCAUAGUAGAAUAGAUUCACACUUUAGCUUGAAUUCCCAAGCUAUUGAAGCAGGCUACAAUGAGUUCAGUUUUAUGUGCAUAUUUAUUUAGACUUGGUUGUAAAUAUUAGCUUGAUUUUCUGCCUUAUACUUUGAAUCAAUACAACAUUUCAAUUUUACAGCAGAGAUUUAUGUUGCUAUUUAGCUUCAGUAAAUAUCAGACAAGGAAUUUCAAACAUAAACUCGAAGCUUGAUUAUUCAUAUAUAAAUAAUGUGAUCUAUGUCGAUUGCAGAUGAUUUAGGAAGUGGUGGAGUUCAUACUGAGGUGUUAACAUGGACAAAAUUGUUGUUUCGGCUGACAUAUUGUUAGCUUAAGCAAUAGUAAUGAACUUGAGGUGGCAUUUUUUGAAGUCUUUUGUUUAUAUAUAAGUUGUAUCGAGUCUCUCUCGAUAUUCUUUACUCUAAUUUUGAUAAUUGCAUCAUAAUUUUAACAUCUGUGUUCCAUAAUAUAACUCUGUGCAUUACUUCAUUUUUUGGCACCUUUGGAUUCCCUGUAUCUUGAAUCAAAACUUUGUUGCUGCAGGUUCAAUAUUCUGGACUUCUUUUGUUGAGGGGCUGCCCUUCUGAGAAUCUGUUUUCAGUUAUCGCUUACCCCUUCUAAUAGGUUGGAAACCAAAUGUGGUUUUUGCAUGUUCAUAGACUUGCAGUGUAAUUUGUUUAUCAUGUUUCGUUAAUACAAACUUCAAAGCCGAAAAACACAAAACAAGCGAAACAACUAUUUAUUCCAAGUGUAUAUUAUCUAUCUUGGACAGCAUUGAAUUUUUAUUUCUCCCCCACCCAAAAUGUUACUAUUGCCACAUUUAUAAUCUUAAAGUCUAUUAGGGAUCUAGAUGUAUACACUUAGUAGUAUGAUCAAAAAGUCUAUCGAGCAAUAACUUGAAAGUAUGUUUCUACUAAUAUUUGGGAAGCGUGUCUUAUAUGUCUUGGAUAGCAUUGAACUUUCCUUACUGUUUCUUUUUUCAAAAUUAUUACAAUUUACACAUAUAUUUCAAUCUAAAAUUUGUUGAAAUUCUUGAUACAAAUACUUCAAAGAGUACAAUCUAAAAGUUCAUUGAACCGUUUACUUAAAAUUAAUCUCAGCAAGAAAAGAAAGAUUUUUGAUAAUUGCAACCAUGGAAGUUUCGUAAGCAGCGGCGAGUUAUUAGAGCAUGUCCAAAAGGCUCUAUAAAUUUUAUUAUUUAAAUAUUCAUUUGUUUACCUAUUUGGCAAAUAGAUGAGCAAAAAAAGAUAUCGUUCUCCAAAAGACUCUUCAAAUAGAAAUGAAUUAAUAUUAUUUUAAUUAAAUAACUAUUUUUAAAGGAAAAGUCAAUAGUAAUUAAAGCAUAUUUCUCUUUUUCUUCAACAAAAAGUAAUAAAAUAUAAAUUGAAGAGGGAGAAUAUAACUCUUCAAAUUUGAAGAGAGAUGAUCAUUUCUUAUUUGAAGAAUCUAGUGUCUUUUAGAGUCUUAAAUGUUGAUGUAAUUCUUCAAAUAAGUAAUAAAAUUUUAUUUGAAGAGUCUUUUGGUGAUGCUCUUAGCGAGAUAAUUUAAAUAUCUUCUACUUGCAUAUGUACAAUUAAUCGAUGUUAUUCAUCCCUGAUCAAUCAAAUUAAGGUUCAAAUUAACUAACUUGGUACCACUCUUGUUUGACGCGCCGGAAUCUCGUCCCUGGAAGAAUCAGGUCAUUACGCUGCCGAAUGAUUUCUCUGGUUUCAGGAUCUUCAAUGGUGAACAACAAUUAAUCGAUAAGCGAGCUAAUGCAAAGUUUCCACCAAUAAAGAGCAAGCCGGAAGUCCAUGGAAGGUCUUCAAAAAUUCUUUCAAUAUACAGUAUACAGCAUCAUUGUUACUACUUUUNNNNNNNNNNNNNNNNNNNNNNNNNNNNNNNNNNNNNNNNNNNNNNNNNNNNNNNNNNNNNNNNNNNNNNNNNNNNNNNNNNNNNNNNNNNNNNNNNNNNNNNNNNNNNNNNNNNNNNNNNNNNNNNNNNNNNNNNNNNNNNNNNNNNNNNNNNNNNNNNNNNNNNNNNNNNNNNNNNNNNNNNNNNNNNNNNNNNNNNNNNNNNNNNNNNNNNNNNNNNNNNNNNNNNNNNNNNNNNNNNNNNNNNNNNNNNNNNNNNNNNNNNNNNNNNNNNNNNNNNNNNNNNNNNNNNNNNNNNNNNNNNNNNNNNNNNNNNNNNNNNNNNNNNNNNNNNNNNNNNNNNNNNNNNNNNNNNNNNNNNNNNNNNNNNNNNNNNNNNNNNNNNNNNNNNNNNNNNNNNNNNNNNNNNNNNNNNNNNNNNNNNNNNNNNNNNNNNNNNNNNNNNNNNNNNNNNNNNNNNNNNNNNNNNNNNNNNNNNNNNNNNNNNNNNNNNNNNNNNNNNNNNNNNNNNNNNNNNNNNNNNNNNNNNNNNNNNNNNNNNNNNNNNNNNNNNNNNNNNNNNNNNNNNNNNNNNNNNNNNNNNNNNNNNNNNNNNNNNNNNNNNNNNNNNNNNNNNNNNNNNNNNNNNNNNNNNNNNNNNNNNNNNNNNNNNNNNNNNNNNUACCACUCUCUUCUAUUUAAAUGGUAAAUUACUCAUGUAAUUGUUUUGAAAAAACAAAUUAAGGCAGCUAAUAAUCGUUGGAAAAUAAAUUGGUAGGCUUAAUUUCAUCCAACUUCAUUAAUUGAUACAAAAGAAUACAACAAAGAGCAACCUUGACACAGUGAGUUGAACAUGACAUGCGUUUUUUAUUUACACCAAUAUUUUCAAGCCUAAUAGUGGACUGGACAUAAAAAUAAAUUAAGCCCUGUUAAUUUUUCUAAAUCAAUGUGAAAAAAACAAAUUUCAUUUGCUAAAGCUAAAAGGCCGACCAAGUUUAUAUUAUGGGAUUUCGACUUCCCGAUCCUUUCUAGGCUUUGGGAGCACAUUCCUCCCCACAAAUUCGAUAUCUAGGACAACUGACUAAAGAGCUCUGUUUACAUUCUUCUCCUUAAUUUUCUUUCUUUCUUUCUUUCUUUUUUUUUUUUUUUUAAAAUAAUGAAUGAAGUGGAGCUUUCUGGGUCGUCAGAAUGGAGAAUUAUUUGUCUCCAAUUAUUAUUAUUUUUUGCCCUUUUUUGAAGUCAGUUGAUUCCACGCUGCGGCUGCAAUCUUCUUCGCUAUGAUUCUAAUACGGUCUUCUCUUCAUUUCUCUUUCUCUUUCUGUUUGAAUAAGAGACGAAUUAUUAACAUGACACACGUCCCGUCAACUGAUGACGUGUUGUUUGACGAUUGCGUUUUAUUUAAUUAUAAAUUAAAAAUUUGAAAGAAAGAGAAAUAGUGAGUGAACGGGCAGUUUUGUCUGACAUAGUAAUAGCUUAAGCAAUACAAUGAACUUGAGGUGGCAGUUUUUGAAAUAUUUUAUAUAUAAAUAAGUUGUAUCGAGUCUCUCGAGACAUUCUUUCUUCUAAUUUUGAUCAUUGCAUCAUAAUCCUGCAUCUGUGUUCAUAAUAUAACUUUGUGCAUUACUUCAUUUUUUGGCACCUUUGGAUUCCUUGUAUCUUGAAUCAAAACUUAAUUGCAGGUUCUAGCAUGUACUUUUGUGUUUUUGAUGUGGGUUAUGUUUGUAUUUGAUGAGAGUAUAUGCUUAUUUAAUGGUAAUUGAAAAAAUUUGAUUUAAAACAGUCUAGCAUGUGUUGUUUUACAUUGAAUACUGUUUUCGUGAAAAGGGUUUUGUAUAUCGUUCAUUGCCUGUAGCUAUUGUGAUAGACAGUGUGUAUGCACCUUUGGCAAGCUCAACUCUUUUUGGAAUCCAUUAUUGAUUUGAUUAUUAAGCAUGUUUAGAAUUGGGUUGUAGUGAUUUUUAAGCUGUACGUAGUUGUUGAGGAAUGAAAUUAAAACAUUAGCUGCUAAAUAAAGUGGGGGUUUAUCAAAUAUUUUGGUCAACCACAUCCAUGUAAUUAUUUUUUAUUCUUUCUUUUUAACAAUGUGCUUUGCUGUAUCAGGAGAAUCCUAGUCCGGAAGGAAGAAUGGGAGAACCAGAAUGAUUGGUCCUCAACCACUGAUAUUUGAUCAUGCUGCUCAAAUCUUUACUGUGAAUCAUUCUCGGUUUGGUGAGUUGGUUGAUGGUUAGUCGCAGAAAUGUUUGGUACGACCAUGGGAAGGUGUGAUUGGAGAGUUGAUGUAGGUAGAUGUAACAAAAUGAAUAAACGAAUCGAGUUUGAAUCGAAUCGUAAACAAAUUAGGUCAGAACUGUGCAGAUUUGGAUUCGUUUUUUUAUUAAACAAAUUAAAAUCUCAGGAUUUAGAUUUAAUUUAUUUAUUAAACGAAUAUUCGGUUUGAUUCGUUUAAUUUAUUUAGUAGAAUUAAUAAACGAAUUGAAUUGAAUUUAAAUUUGUUUACUAUUCAUUCAUUUAUCAUAUAACAAAUUAAUAAUGAAUCGAACUGAAUAUGAAUUCGUUUACAAAAAUAUAAUUAAUAAACAAAAAUUAAGCAACACAAAUUAUAAAAAAAGACUACAAAUUUAACAUCCUACAAAAUGCAAACUUAUUAUUAUUUAUUAUUACUAUAAUACCUUCAAAUUUUAAAUUUUUUUCAUGUGAAUAUUGAAAGAUAAAUAAGUAAUUUAAACGGAUAAUAAACGAAUGAAUCGUAUUCAAUUCAUUUAUGUUCCAUUUAUUAAAAAAAUACUAAAUGAAUAAAUAUCCUCAAGCCUAAAUUCGAUUUUCUAAUUAGUGAAUCGAAUCAAAUUCACCCAUUUAUAACGUAAUCAUUUAUUUUUCAAAGGCAAACUCAUUUAAUUAGCAUCGAAUUGAAUGGAAAAUUCAUUCCAUUGUCUUCUUUACCUCCAAAAUAAAUUGGUGUUAAUGGAAUGCACUCUCUUGCUGACUCUUUAUUGGCCUUGGUAACAAAUCUUUGUUUUGCUUUUGUGUUCCUUUCUUGUCGAUUCUACCAUGCUUCUUUGCAUCAAAAGGGGGAAAAUUGUCUAAUUAAAUCACAAUGGUAAGAAACUGAAGUAUUGUUUUGAAGUUUGCUGGAAGGUGGUGUAGCUGCUUGGGUAUUCCAAGUCCCAAAAUCUUUAUAUUUUUCAGGUUUGACAGGAGAAGGAAGAUAAGAGUGUAUGAAACUAAAAGCUACAAUUAUAUGGUCACAUGAUUUCAAUUGCUUUGGCUGCAUUGCUAGACUUAAUGAAGCAGUGCUGAUAAUGAUCAUAACUGAGGAAAAGAAUAACCAGCAUGAACAUUUUGCACUGACACGGUGAGAGUAUAAGAUUGAACACUUAAUGAGAGAGCAUAUAUAUAUAUAUAUAUAUAUAGAGAGAGAGAGAGAGAGAGGGGGGGGGGGGGGAUUCUUGCGCCAUUAGUUAGGAACUGGUGAAUUAGGAAGUUGAUUUUAUUGUUGAAAUUUCUUUGUAAAGAAUGUAAGUUUGAGUGGGGAUUUCUUGUCAGAAUUUUUGAAGAUUGAGCAGCUUUAUUGAAGCCAGGAGCAAUCUUCUACCAAGCAAAGCUGUGCGAUCUCAACUUUGAAAAUAUGUUGUACAAAAUUAUCUGGUCACAUUCCUAAGUUUGUUUUCUUUGAUUACAGUUGUCAUAAUUCCAAGAUGCACAUACUCGAGAGAAUAACAAACAAUAUACCAAGAUAUAUAAUUGUUCCACUCUUAUUUAUGAAAAUGGCACAAAGGCACAAAUUAUAAUAUAGUGGGUGGAAAAAAAUAAUUGUUAUCACAAAAACGACUUUAAGAUUUUUAAUUAAUUUGUAAAGAUUGACACAAAAAAUCUUUGUAUGGACUUUGUGCAGUCUUCGUUUAAGUGUCUGCUUGUUACAUGGGGAAGAAGAGCCUUUUCAGAAGGUGGGGAAGGGAAACAUAGAAUAUCAGAAGGGACCAGCAAUGUUGCAGCAGGCAAGCCUUCGAGUUCCGAAUGAGCGGUGCUAGCGUCAUUUGCUUUUGACGCAGCCGCUGCUUCAAAUGGGGACACCUAACCCUCUGUUUUUUUUUCUUAAUCACUUGCAAUUUGUGAUUGAAAAACCCUCAUUCUUUAUGCUUAAUUACUAUAUUACCAUUUCCUUCAGUUUUUUUUUUGGAAAAAAUUACAUUUAUUUAAAGUUUAAAUUGACUACAAUGUUUGCUUAAUAUGACAGUAACAAUGUUACGCAAAUAUUUCUUACUCAAAAUUUUAUUUUUCUGAGAUAAGAUUCAAAUAAUAAUAAUAAUAAAUAUCAAUACACCAUUAUUAUUUUUUCACUUCUUAUUUUAGCCCCUCUCUUUAUUAUGAUUUUUACAAAUAAUUUGAUACUUUUUGUGAAAUUAAUAGGUCCUCUUAAUUAUUAGUGGAGUAGAUUUAACUAGUUUAAGUUUUGAUUUAAAUAUUCAAAAUGCUUUGGAUAAUCGAUUUAGGAGAUUCAAAUAAAUUUUUUACUAUAAAUAUCAAUAUUUUUAUCAAGUAAUUUAGUGACUUAUAAUGAAAAGUACUUUUUACUUGUGCAAUUUUUUAAUAAAUUUAAUCUGGUACUGACUUCAUAUUUUUAUUCAUAAAUAUCUUUUCUUUUUGGUUAAUUGUUUGUCUCAGGAAAUAGAUUAAACAAAUAUAUAAAGGUGUUUGUGUUAUAAAGGGUGUUAUUGAUAAUCAUACUAAUAGCAAAAACUGAAACUAUUUUUUUGAGAUAAAGUUGAGUUCUUAUCAAUCUUCAAAGUUGUUUGUUAGUUUCGUCAAUGAGUUUAAUUGGUUUAGAAAAUUAUUUGAAGGUAAUAGAAUUACAUUUAUACUUUAUGGUUCAAUGGGAAGCCACCAAAGCUAUUUAUCAUUUGAGUGAAAAAUUAACAGUCUUUCACUCACUGUGUCGAUUAAUACACUCAUUAUUCUUAAAUUAUCUUAACACUCCCAAAAUAUUUUUUAUGUUAAAUUAAUUUGUAAUAUGUUAAUUUUAUAUUGUAGAUAUAUUUUAAUAAUAGUAAGGAGUUGGAACUGGAAGCACGAACAAAGAAGAAUUAUUGUAGCCAUUUGAAAACAUUAUUGAGCAGAUUUAAUAAAAAAAUAAAAAAAUAAAGUGAGCAAUCAUGUUUGUAAUGGUUAGGAGGCCAUUAUGCCGCCUGACCAUCACCAUGUUUUACUUGUUUGUUUGUGUGAUAAUAAUAAAACAAAAGAAGUUAAAGCUGAAGAUCGCCUAUAAAUAGGAUGAACUUCUGCGGAGGGGGGACGAAGAACCGAGAGAGAACGAAGUGAAGCUGAGGAUUUUCUUUCUUUCUUUCUUUUUUCUUUCCUUGUUUUCUUCUGUAUCAAUUUUCUUGUAAUAUAUUCCAGAAGUUUGUCAAAUAAUAAAAAGAGUAUUCUAUUUUCUUUCAAUAUGAGUGAUUAAUUUUACUAAGCUGAGGUGCAGAGUGAAGCUCAAAGUUUUAAAUUAUAAAAUUAAUUACUUUCUCAAGUGAGUUUUAAUUUUAUUUUAUUCUUUUUUGUUAUUUUUAUGCAAUGUUAAUUUAUAGAUUUCCUUGGAUUUGUAUGAUAUUUUGACAUAAUGUCGACACAUUAAUAUAGUUGUGGCACAUUAGGUACUUGAUUCUAUAUUUAUCCACACACAUAGUUAGUUAAGAAUUAAAUGACAUAAUAAGUAACUGAUAAAAGUGAGGUAAAAUAUAAAAAUAAAAGAGUAUUAAAACCAUAGUUUGAAUACGGAGAGUGGAUCUUAUAACCUUAGCAUAUUUUUAUAUUGAUUCCUAUUAAUUUUUUUCCUCAUUUAAUUUUCUUUGUUUAACAAAUUGACUACUAGAUUUUAAAUUCUCUGUUGUUCGAUCCCGGACUUACCGGAUUAUAUUAUAACUAGACACUUUUAUACUUGAGAGUAAUAACAUUUUUGAGUCGUGUCACUUUACAUUUUGUUCUUUUAUCUUUUUCUUCUGACCACAAGACAAGAAUAUGAUGGUCUCAAGAGUUUUUUAAUUCAACUAAAUUUCAAUGCAUGUUGACCAUGAACUAUGUGUGUGUGUAUAUAUAAUGUAAUCAAUUCAAAUAAAAUAUUUUCUUUCUUAAUAUUAGUUUACUAGAUUCAGCUGUCUUAAGCUUAGUAGUUAUUGUGAAUUUCGACCUCGUUACUACUAGUCUGUUCCAGUCAACUUGUGCGCUUGUGAGUACACAAUUUGCUCAACAUUUGACAUACUAUUCAUUCAAUUAAGCCAAACAAUAAAAUAGUAAAAGCCCAUUUGGGAUUAGUUUUUGAGAUACUUAAAAAUGAUUUUAAAAAGUUAAAAACUAAUUUUAGUGUUUGGUAUAUUUAAAAAAAAAUCAUAUUUGGCAAAAUCACCCCAUUCUAUAGCACAUUUUGAUAAUAAGUUUUAUAUUUAAUACCGUUUCACAUAUAUCCUCACAAUUGUUAUAAAAAUUCAAAAUUAUCCUUAUUUAAUUAGGAAAUUAAGUCAUUAAAUUUAAACAUAUUAUUAUUAUGACUACUACUAAUACUACUACCACUAAUUAUAUUGAGAUAACAAAAUUAAUAAAAUAAAAAAAUUUUGAGUUAUUAGUUAUUUUAUGUACACAAUACAAAAAAUAAACAUUUUAUAUAUAUCAAUUAUUUGUAUUCUUAUAACAAUUAACUGUAAAAAUUACUAAGUACAUAUGACUAUUUUUAAAACUCAUAACACUUUUAAAAAUAAAUUUUACUAAACAUCUUAUCUGCUAACAUCAAUCAUCAUGUUCCAUGUAUGUUGUUCUAUCGUUUGUGUGUUAGGUUGCAUUAGUUUUUUUAUCUGAAAUUUGAAUAGGUCUAAAUAAAAAUGUCUAAAUGACUUGUUUGUUUUUUUCUUUUUCAACAUCCGAAGAGAAAAAAAAUAAAAGGUAGUAGUUUGACAUAGAUAUCCUUUUAAGUGAUGCAUAUAUUUGUUCUUCACAAUUUAUAAUUUUCACAAGUUGAUUUGUUUGGCAGCAUUAAAAAAAAAAAACUAUCAUUAUUGAUUUUAAUUUAAUUUUGUAAUAAAAGAUGUAAUUAUGAUAUUAACUUUUAUUAUAAAGUUAACAUUGUUGUUUUAUUUUUUAUUCAUCACAAUAGACAUAAUUUGAUUUGUUCAAUAUUUCAAUUUAGUUAAUGUUAUCAUGUGAAUAAAAAUUUAAAGCAAUUAAAAAAAAUAACUUCAAGAAUAAUACAAAAAUAUUAGGUUUAUAUAUAAUAUUGAAAAUACAUGAAUUGUUAAGGGUAUUUUUGAGAAUUGAAAUUAAAAUUUUCUAUUUACACUUCAAAAUUUAGAUAAAAGUGGAUUUUUUUUACUUUUCCUAUUCAGAUAAAUUUGUACAAUGAGUGAUAAGUUAAAAAACCAAACAACCUAAAAUAAAUAAAUGUUUGGAAAAAAGUUAAAUUCAGACUUCUAGCUAAAAAACAAACAGCACCUUAGUGUGUAAAAAAAUAAAGGCUUUAAAUAUAUUUAAUAUUCCUAUUAAAAUAUUUAGUACGCUAUAUUAACUUAUCCACUGGUGUAGAAUUUGAAAAAAAAAAGUUUGUUUUCCUGUUCAAUUUUAAGUACUAACAAUUAAAGAAACAGAUAAACAAAAUUUUUUUUCAGUCAAUAAUCUAUACCAUUAAAAAAAAAAUUAAACUAGGAUUGUAAAUAAAUGAAUAAAUAAACGCAUAAUUGAUUUUUUAAAAAAAAAAAUUAGCCAACAUACCAUGAUGAAGUGAGGUACCAUGAAUCUUAAAAAUAAAUUUAUUGUUUUGAUGAGAUUUUGUCUCUUUUUCUUGCAUCCAAAAUCCACUCAAAAUUAUGUAGAAGCAUAGUGGUUGUUAGAAAUGUACCCCAAGUACGUGCAUAUCCUGCCACCAAAAUAGGACUCAACUCGAGUUAUCCAAACUUAGUGAAACUUAAACUUUGUGUUUCAAUGAGCUAGUCAACCACAUCCAUGUAAUUAUCAUUACCAUUAUUGUUGUUAUUGUUAUUUUCCUUUUAAAACGGUGCCUUUGCUAUAUAUCAGGGGAAUCAUGCAUGGGAACCAGGAUGAUAGGUACUGAUUCAAAGUCCCAAAAUGAUCACAGUUUUGAGGUUUGACCCCCACAUGCACAAGGAAGAUAAGAAGCUAAAAUUAAUUACAUGGGCUGCAAUGGGUGGACUUAGAAUGAAAUGGCAUGACGGCCGAGGAAAAGAAGAACUAGAGGGAACAUUUUAUUUUGCACCACUGUGUCAUGACUGCAAUUCCUGCACAGUAACAAGCUUAUUAAUAGUCAUAUAUGCCACACUAAUAAUUAGCGUAUUUAUACAAACAUCUUAAUUAUCAAGGCACAAAUGAACUUAAUUAAAUUCAAAGAUGGCAAUUCAGAAGCGAUAAUAUAUCCCAGCGGCAACUAAUAUAUAUAAUAGAAAUUAAAGUCCAUGGUUAGCAUUAACAUUGUGACACGCGGUACUACAGAUACAGGCUUACCCUUGGUUUGUUUUGGUAGAGUUAUGCAAAUGGCUGAAGCGUUGGCUGGUGCUUGCAAAAGAUAGAGAUCCAGCUCGCAUGCUCAUUUCAACACUUGGCGCUUGGCGGGUGCAGUGAGUUCUGCAGCAGGCUCUACAAAUUAAAUAAUAUAGUUUUAUUUAUUUUUAAAAUAAUUAAAACUCUUUUAUUUGCCCACCACUUAAGUUUUUCUCCAAUCACAGGAUAGGGUCCUUUCCCGCCUUUUCCCGGUAAAUCCUUUAGGAUUGUAGACGUGGCAGAUACCAAGAGGAGGAAGAGAAGCCGUGUUUGACUUUUAGAAAGAAAUAAUAAUAAUCUUGGAGUAAGCUGACGCAAAUUGUAGGGCCUGCACCACUUUAUUAAUUUAGUUUUUUCAGCCGCUAAUUUUUUUCAUGGAGUAAUUUGUAAAAACCUCCCUUAAGGUUUGAGCUUGUUGUAAGUAGAUAAUAAAAAUAUAUUUAUUUGUAAAAAUUUUUUUACUAUCAGUUAAUUUUAAUAUUGACCGUUAGUUGAUUGUGCAAAGAUAAUAGUACCCUUAAUAAUAGUUUGUAGAUAGAAAUAAUUAAAAAAAAAUUAAAAUUAUUAGUUAUUUUAUCCUCUUUAAAUUAUUGAUAUUUUCUUAAAGUUCCUACAAAAAAAAUAAAAUUAAAAACUUAAAAAAACCUCUUUAAAUUAUUGAUAUUUCCUUAAAAUUUCUACAAGAAAGAUAAAAUAAAAAACUUAAAAAUGAAAUAGUCAUAAUCUUUACCUAUAAUAUUAACAAAAAUAAAAUUGUCAAAAAAUAAGAUUUGUGCUUUUCGCGCCAACAAUAAUCUUGGAGUUUCCAGCUGCUAAAUUGUAGGGCCUGCACCACUUUAUUAAUUUAGUUUUUCCAGCUGCUAAAUUUCUCCAUGUUACAUUACAUUACACGCAAUUUUGAAGUUUAAAUUUGUCUCUCUUUUUUUAAAAAAAAAAAAAGAAAAAAAUAAUUUUUAUCAUUUCUGUUUCCCCCCAGUAAUUGUCUUAAAAUAAAUAUUGUACUUCCGCGUAGUACGCAGCACAAGGACAUUAUGAACGGUAUUUAAUCUCGCCCCCUCUUGUUCACAAACAAUUUUGAAGUUUCAAAGGAAAUUAAAGAAAGCUUUAGUUUCCUCCCUUGACGUUGACGUUCUAAUCUCUAACUGAUUGCUUUACUUACCGUGCCGUCUUACCUCACCGAACACAAAUGUAUGGGGACUCUUGACUCAAAUCACAAUUGAAGCCUGCCCAAUAGUUUGUGUAAGUGUCCUUAAUUUUUUUCUUUCAGAAAUUAUUAUUACACCACUUUUCUUUUAUCUCAUAUUAAUUCAACCACUAUAAAAUUUUAAUAUGUUCUCUAUAUCAUAUUUUUAAAAAAAUUUAUAUCAAUUAGACACUUUUCCAUUAACACCGUUAAAUAAUUUAAAUGAAACGAUAAUUUUACUUCUAAAUAAAUUAAAAGAUUAUUUUAUCUUAUAAAAGCUUUGAAAAUAAAAAAUUAUAAUUAUAAAAAUACUCCUACAUUUAAUAAAGAAAUGUAGUGCAGAGAACAUUGUAGAAUUUGUGGUGGGUGGAUGAACAUAAGAUUAAAAAAAAUGGUGCAAUGAUAAUUUUUUUUUUCUAAGAACUGUCCUUAAAAUUGAAAACAGAACAACAAUUUUUUUUUUUUUCAUUCAACACUAUUAGAAAAAGCAAAAAACACAACAUUUUGUCUGGAAUGAAAGGUACGGUCAACCUGUAAAAUUUCAUCUAACCCCCUAUGCUCUAUAUAUUUUAUUCAUGAAUAUUAUAAAUUUUUUGAAAUGUAAAAUUUCGUUUAACCCCUUCUACUUAAUUUUAUUUUAUUAAAACCAUAGAGUAUGAAUUCGCCCCCAUAAUUUUAAAUUCUCAAAAUAACCUCUAUUUAAUUAAAAAAUAUAAUUAUUAUUAAAUAAAUUAUAAUUAUAAUUUUAUUAUAAUCAUAAAUAUUUUUUUAGAAAGCGACUCGCUCUCUUUGGCUCUUCCCCAAAAUCUGUGGGAACUUAAAGUUUAACUUCUAAUAAUUAUAAAUUUAAACUUUAAGUUCUAACUUUUAGUUUGUCCACGAGGCUUCUACUUUCCGAAAUGAUCCAUUCAAUCUCUUUUUGGCUUUGAUAAGACUCCUGGACGGUAUUUAUUGAAUUAGAUUCCACAAUCAAAGGAAAGAAACUCGAAUCUGUUGCCAACUUGAUGCCUUGUAGGACAGCUUCAGCCUCUGCAAACUCGAUGUCGCCGAGAAAAGAGCUGAGCCAACCAUGAAAUCUCCCUUGGAAUUUCUUAUUAUUAUUACACCCAAACCUGUAAUUCCAUUGGAGACAUCAAUCGCUGCAUCAACUAUUUAUUUAUUUUAACAUUCUUUGUAACGCAGCAUGAUAAUGUCUCAUUAUAUGAUAUUGUGCUUUACGAGCAUUCAAAAUUCUUUCGAAUUUAAAGAUUUUGAGAUAUACAGUAGUACUUUGAUAAAUUUAUAAUUUUGAUUAAAUAAAAAUUUAACCAACAUAAUAAAUAAUAUUUUGAUAAGUUUAUUGAAUAAUAAUUUUUUUUAAAUUUCAUUUUCUUAUAAGACCCACUUAAGAUAUAAAUUAAUAAUUACCUAAUUUAAAAUUAAAUCGAUGAUGUCAUAUGACUUUUGAAAACUAUGUUCCUAUUGUUAACUUUUUUGGUUUCUUGAAAUUGAUUUGAAAUUAUUAGAAGUUAAACUUUAACUUCUAACUUUCAGCCACUUGUUGGAAGGAAAGGAGAAAAACAGAAUGAGCCGUGCUAGCGUCGAGUUAGCAACCUCAAGUUCUAAAAGCGACUCUCAAGUAGGGAUGGCAAUGGGCACCGCCCGCAGCGGGUUUGCCAUUACCAAAUCCAAACCCGCACAAAAUUUAAAUUACUAAACCCACCCGCAACCCGCAGCGGGUUUUAAUUUUUGUACAAAAACCCACCCGCAGCGGAUUUUAACAAUUACCAAACCCGCAAUGGUAUCCGGCGGAUUUUUUGCGGGUUUCCGUAUUUAAAAUCACAAAUGUUUAAUAUAUAAAUUUAUAAUAAUAACCUCAAAUUCCAUAUAACAUACUUAAUUUUAUAUUUAAAUAAUGUAAAUGAAAAAUUAAAAUUUCCACAUCAAUUCAACACAAAUUCUCAAAUUUAAGUAUAAAUUACACAAAUCCAUUUAAAAAACACAAACUAGUAUCUAAAAAUAAUAAUUACAUUUCAUAUUAUCAUUUAAAACAAGCUCCAAGAGAAGAUAUUCAUUUCAUUCGCCACCAUAAGCACCCAUCCAACACAAUGCCUAUAAUAAUAAUUAAGAUUAAUAUUUUCAAAUACUAAUUCGAAGGAAAAUGCCUUUAGUUUUCUUUAGAUUAUGACUUUAGAAUAAGAUAUAGGCCACAUACACACAUACACAACUUUGAGCCUUUGGCUAUUUGGUAAUUUAAUUAAUGACAUUAUUUUCUUUAUACAUUUUUAGAUUAAAAUUAAAUUAAAAAUAUUUGAAAAAAAUAUUGCGGGUUUGGUGGAUAUCCAUGCGGGUAUCCACCGGAUAUAAGGUUAAUACCAAACCCACCCGCAUUCAUGUGCAGGUUUUAAUUUAUAAUACUAAACCCGCCCGCAACGAGCGGAUUUUAACGGAUGGAUCUGAGCGGAUUUGCGGGUACAAUUACCAUCCCUACUCUCAAGUUACAAAGCGACUCGCUCUCUUUGGCUCUUCCCCAAAAUCUGUGGGUGAGCGGUGCUAGCGUCGGUCGCCUUUGGGAGCGACUGACGCAGUCAGUCAGUUACUACUGCUAAGGGUGACAAGUGUCCCUUAUCUUUUUUGUGCUUUAUUAAACGAGUAAAAGAGACGACUAACGAGUGAAGCAAUAAUGACGGCACGAAAACCUGAAAAAUCUGUCUUUUCAGUGAAUAGUAUUUUGAAAAAAAUUCCUUUCUAGGACGGAGUUGGCUUCUGGAAUAAGCCACGUCGAAUAAUCAUGUCUCUUUUCAGGCCCGUCAUUCCACCAUCCCAUUUUCUAUUGUUUAGUUUCUCACUCCACAUCCAACGGCUGAUGCUGCAGUCUGUAGCUUACAGAUUCUGUAAGCUAGUCAAGUCCCUCGUUUCAUACGCAGACAAUGUCUCUUACAAUUGACAGUCACACAAAAUGGCAGCUUCCCUCGCUUGACGUGUCACCCCAUUUGGAUCAUAAUUGGGAGUCCAGGGACGGAGUCAGCAUGGGACGAGGUGGGGCACAGCCCCAGCUGGCUUUUAAUUUUUUUUAUAAUUAUACUAAAAAUUUGUAUUUUAUUUGUUAUUUAUGAAAAAUACCCCAAUUAAAUUAUAAAAUUUGAAAUCGACUCCAAUAAUUUAAAAAAUAUUUCAUACUAUCCCCAGUUUAAAUUUCUAAUUAUAAAUAAUUUAAUUAGUUAUUAACAUUUCAUGAAACUUGAUUAAAGACACGAGAAUAAAUAUUAAAAUAAAAAAACAAUCAUAACAAAAUGUUAGUAUAAUGGUUAAUGGACUGGUAUUUAAUCUUUUUAUUUUUUAUUCAAGUAAAAUCAAUUAUUUAGUCUUUCAAUACUGAACCAUAAGUUGUAAGUCUACCUAAUUCUAAUUUUUAAUUUUCUAAUUAAUCUUUUGUCUAGUUUUAAAUUUUAUAAUUUUAUCAUGCAUUUCAUAUUUAUUCUUUGUGUUGCAAUAUAUGAAUAUUUUUGUUAUUAUUAAAAGAUUUUAAGAGCAAAUUAAGUAAUAGCCUAGUAUUGUAUAUUGACAAAUAUAUUUUUGCUUAUAUUGAUAAUGCAUUAUUUUAAACUCAUCAAAUCUCAUUGAGGAGUUUUCACGGAGAACCAUUGUAAUAAAUAAAUUUAUUAUCAAUGAAUAUUAUAGUUGUAAUGUUAUAUAUUGAUAUCUAAAUUUUUAUAAAUGUAUUAUACUUUAAAUAUGGUUUCAAUUAGAUGCAUACAAAUGCACUCUAAAAGGAGUACAAUUAUACAUGUCGCAAGUUCCCAUUUGGAGUUUAUAGGGCCCACAAUACAAUUUCUCAAAUGGGAACUUAUCACAUGAGCAAUCGCUCAUUUGAGUCAUGUUUGAUUUCAAAUGUGCCCUGGCUCGAUCAAAAUUCUGGCUACGUCCCUGAUUGGGACCUACUUGCGAUGUGAUCGGUCUCCAAGUCCAACAAUGUGAUAAAUUUCAGUCGCACAAGAUCUCGCUUGACGUGUCACCCCAUUUGGAUCAUAAUUGGGACCUACUUGCGAUGUGAUCGAACUCCGAGUCCAACAAUGUGAUAAAUUUCAGUCGGGGUAAUUUUUAAAAACCACCCUUGAGAUUUGCCUUUGCUACACCUAAAUAGAAUGUAUGCAUAUAUUGACAAUAUCCCUCCUGACUGUGUAUAAGAGUUAGGCACCCGUUAGAUAGUUGAGGGCAACAACGUAAAUGCCCUAUUUUUUAAUUUUUAAAUCUUACAAAAACUGAUAUACGGUAAAUGAUUAGAUGAGCAACUAGAGAAUGCACAUGAUGCUUUGAAGCUAGUGAAACCCGAGGGGGUUAGUAACCCAUUUUCAAACCCAUGGACAAUGCUUAGCUUCAUUUCUUCUUGUUUUUUCUGAACAUAACUUAAUACCCACUGAAUUUAGCAAUAACUGAGGCACUUUGUGAUACACUAAGCUAACAAAUUUAUGAGAUCAACUAUGUUUUGAACUGAAUUCUAACGAUGACCGACAUCUGACCAACCACUGAUUGAAGAGCGUGAAAGAUGUGUAUUUCUGUGGAAGUUUAAAAUUGAAGUUGGGUUUUAUUAUUUUCUUGGAUUUUGUUUUAAGAUUUUCACAAAAUAACGAAGACUCUAAAUAUAUAUUAUUUCUAUUAAACUAUUUAAUAUGCUAUUUUAACUUAUUUAAAGGAUAAUAUUGGUGAAGCUUUUGUUUUAAAAUUGGUGAGGAAUCUAAAUUCCUCACCCAUUGCUGCAGAAUUAAAAGAAAAAGUUUGUUUUCUGUUUUCAAUUUUAAGGACUAACAACUAAAGAAAGAGGAAAACAAACAAUUUUUUUUUCAUUCAAAAAUCAAUACUACUAAAAAAACACACACACACACAACAUUUAGACUAGGAAUGUAAAUAAAUGUAUACAUAAACGUAUAACUGAAUUUAUGAAAUGAAGCUGAUGGAGUACUGAGGAGCCCUUUUCACACACGCACGCACCUCAGAAUAUAUAGCAAAAUAAAUGACACAUCAUAUAAAUCAUUAUACAAAAUACAAGAGACAACUACAUCUGCGAUUAAACAGAAAUCAGUGAAGAAUGAUGAUACACGUACAUAAAAGAGAAAUCAUGAAAGAUCAACAACUCCUGCUCAAACUGGGUUACACAAGACUUGAAGACUAGACUAGCUCAACCCUGUAAGCAGGGCCGGAUAUAUAACUAAAAAUUGAAGCAUAGCAGGCUAGGAGAAACACGUAUGUGAGGGCAACGGAGGCAAUGAUGGAAGUAUUGGCGGCACGUACAGCUACUGAGUGAUACUCAUAUAGGUUGAGGGGACGCACAUUGGAUCAAUUCGUAGGGCAUACCUGACUUAAGAGCAUGAUGUCUUAUGCCGGGCACUUUUUGACUGUAAGAUUCAUUGAAGAAUACCAAGGCUUUAUUGACCACUCUCUUGUAGGAACCAUCGGACCUACCACUUUGAUUUUCUGCACUUGGUAAAAGCGCAGAAACAACAAUCUGAGCAUUCGCUCCCUGGGUGUCUUAAUCGGCUUCGGCGCAGAAACAACAAUCUGAGCCUUCGCUCCCUGGGUGUCUUAAUCGGCUUCGGCGCAGAAACAACAAUCUGAGCCUCCGUUCCCUGGGUGUCUUAAUCGGCUUCGGCUUUUUGGCUAAAGCCGAUUCGGACCUACCACUUUCAUUUUCUGCACUUGGUAAAAGCGCAGAAACAACAAUCUGAGUCUUCGCUCCCUGGGUGUCUUAAUCGGCUUCGGCGCAGAAACAACAAUCUGAGCCCCCGUUCCCUCGGUGUCUUAAUCGGCUUCGGCUUUUUGGCUUAAGAAGAGGCAUAGCAUUUGGAAAACACAGCUCCUGAGUGUCACAAAUAUAAAUAUUAUUCACUACUUCAUUCGACCUCACCAUAAUCCAAGAAGCCCCUUCUCUUGAAUUUACACCUCAAAAUGUGCCCUAGAAAAAAUCAGCGCUCUGUGUUCUGGAACGAGGAAGAAAAACUCGUUCGCUUCAACCACCGUCUUCCAUCAGGGACGAAGCAAGAGGAUGUGAUGGUAGGCAUUGAUGAAGAUGCCAAAUUGCUUACGAUAACAAGCAAGGUGGCAAGUGCACAUAAAGAUUCCUCAGUGAUCACAUCCUCUCUCUUCAGUUUCCUGAAGAAGAAGGAAGGAGACACCACCAGCCAGGUAAUCCGGAUGGAAUUCAACUUGCCAGCAGGUCUGAAUCCAAAUGGUUUCAAGGCUGCAAUCGAUGCCGAGGGGUUGCUAACUCUCACUUUUGAGAAGCUCGUGCCCAAUCAUUCCGAAACGCCCUCGGACCUCGUAAAGGUCUCCGUGCAGUGGAAGAGCAAAAAAGGCGUCUUUCACUUCAAGGCCCAUCUGCCAGCGGGGACGAAGAUGGAGGACAUGAUGGUCGGGAUAGAAGGUCGCAAAUCCCUUAUGAUAGGCAUUUGUGAUCUGCCGAAGACAGAGGAAGGGGACACCAGUACUCUCAUGUGCUUCGAUGGCAAGAACUUUAGGAGCUUCAUUUUGCCAGAUGGUGUGAACCCAAAUGGCUUCAAGACUGCAAUGGAUGAUGCCGGCGUUCUUACUGUUACCUUCACUAAACUCAAGCCACAGAAGAAAAAGCUGUGGCCAAUAGCAAAGAAGUCGCUGGGAUGUUUGGCUCAUGCUGCUUGUUUGCUGAUAUGUGAGAAGAUAAGUGAUGGGAUAUGAGUUGAGGAGACUGCUAAUAAGGAAUUUGCCUCAAGUUCAUGCAUGUUGUUCUGUCGUUUAUGUAUUAGUGUUUGAAAAUAACUCUGUACCCGAGACCAGGUGCUUGUAACUACUACAGGGUGCUUGUAAUAACUAUGUUGUAUUGUAUCCCCUUCUUUGCAGGGAAAGAAGGGAGCUUUAUCUGAUUAAAAGAUGAUAAAUGCUGAGCGAAAAAUAAAUGUUGUGUUUGUUAAAACUUAAGCAGCAAUUUAAAUUUUUUCUCAAGUAGCCGCCAUCCUCCUUUUACUUUUUGGCCGCUGGUAUGGCAGCCGCCUCCGGCAUCGCCCAAACUGCCGUUCACCACCCAACCAGCCGGGAUCCCCUUUCCUAACCGUUGCCGCCCCAAAACGAAAAUCCAAGUUCACGGCUUCCUCAUCAAAAUCUAGCCGCCAUCUCCUCCACCACCGUUGGCGGUGUUUUACAGCCGCCUGAACCCUCCUCUGUCACCUUGCAGCUGCUGCCCAACCACCUUCUUCACCAAACCCCGUCGACAACGUAUCGUCCUUUAACGCGUGUCGGUCCAAAGCGACACAAUAAACCCUAGUUCGUUACCAUCUUCCCGAGCCGCCACCACUCUUCCUGCCACAGCUGAACCUGAUGUGCUGCCGUCGGUUCACUUCACAUCAUCCCAACAGCCACCGUCUAGCUUCACAGCUUCCAACCUUGGCCACACGCAACUCCUUUUGGCUACCGCUUUUGGCCUUGCAACGUCCCCAACCGAUGCUCGUUCUCCCUCUCAUCCCUUAACUGGCCCUUUGGCUACGACAGUCUCCUACAAUCCAAAUCCGACUCUUCACCAAAACCCUAGCUCGCUCUCUCUUAGCCAAACACAAACCCAUGCGGCUGCCCCUCCUUCCUUGGCUACUCACUCCUUCAACGGUGAUGGUAGCUGCCCUCCUUGUUGCCUUCACAGCCUCCACACAGCCAACAAACAUCCAACUCCCAACUUGGCGGCGAAGAUUCACGCUUUCUGCCUUCAACUAGAGUGCAACAGCAGACAAAGUGAUAACAGGUAUGUCGGAGGGUGUUAAAGCUGCGCUUGGCCUGCUGAAAGGUUCAGUUUACAAGCCCAUCUGUAGAUAUAUUAAUUCAUAAUUAAGAAAAUUCCGGGUUCCUUUGUGAUGAAUUAGAUAAUUAUCCUUUUUUUUCCCCUUUUGGAAUCUGCAGGGGUGCAGCUCUUUUGACAAUCCAAGUAUUCCGUGUAUUUUUUUGUCGUCACGGAAGGGCUGGUAUCUUUGUCGGAGGGUGUUAAAGCUGCGCUUGGCCUGCUGAAAGGUUCAGUUUACAAGCCCAUCUCUAGAAAUAUUCAUAAUUAAGAAAAUUCUGGGCUCCUUUGUGAUGAAUUAGGUAAUUAUCUUUUUCUUUUUUCCUUUUGGAAUCUGCAGGGUGCAGCUCUUCUGACAAUCCAAAGAUCCAUGUAUCUUUGAUCGUCACGAAGGGCUGGUAUCUGUGGCGAUUGGCUGUUGGGUUCAACUUUAGAGUAAGCUGCCUUUAGUGGCAUGGAUCUUACUGAUCAUGUAAGCAAGAAUAUGAUUUUCUUUUGCUUGUUUGGUUUUGUUUUGCACAUGCAAAUAUAUCUUUCAUGAUUGAUAAUUUAUGUCAAAUAAAAAAAAAAGAAUCCCUAUAUAUGGACAUGUAAAUAUAAAUUAGUAUAUUUGCUUCAGUUCAGUUUGAAAUAUCAGACAAAUUUCAAGCAUAAGAUUGAAGCUGGAUUAUUCAUAUAUAAAUAAUGUAAUUGGUCUAUGCAGAUCGCAGAUUAUUUACGAAUUGAUGGAGUUUGUUCUGAGGCGUUUGCUGUCGAUUUUUACUGGGCUAGGAAUGUAAUUAUAGUUGCUAUGACCUUGUAGGCACUGUUGGCAGAUGCGGUAGAGUUGGCGAAAUGAAAGACUUUUUGUGUAAUAUAAUAAUAUGGCAAAUGCUAUGUUACAUUUUCAUCGCAUCAUAUUAAUUUUAUUAGGAAAAAUACCCUUUUAUACCCUGGGAUUUGAUGGAAUAGUCACUUUCUUCCUUACUAUUUAAAUAGUAGCCCAUUUCAUCUAUUUUUUUUAAUCAAUAGCACAAAACACUCUUCCAUUAAUUUACCAUCAGUUUACUGUAUAAUUUAUUGAGGUUAAAAUAGAAUUUUCAAUUAAGUAAUAUAAAUUAUUUUAAAAUAAAACUCUCAAUCAUAAUUAAAUAACAUUUAACUUUCUGUGUAAAUUUAAAAUUUAAAGAUGAAAUAAAUAACGUUAACACUAAAUAAUACUCAAAAUAUGUAUUUAGGACAAAAUAAAAUAAAAAAAGUUUCACGGGCACUGGAGUUUUUUUUUUCAGCAUGUCCUUAACUUUAAUAUGAUCAAGAUAAAUAAAUAAAUAAUCCAUUAGUACUGUUAUUCUACAAAAAGUAAACACAAACUCCUUCAUUUACUUAAUAACAUGUGCACCAAAGACAUAAAAACACAUAUUUAAAAUACUAUAGAAUAAAACACACUACAUUAAAAUGUGUGUGUGUGUGUGUGUGUUUUUUUUUUUUUUUACUUUUAACUUAUCUCUGCUCUUAAUAUGGACAAUGACCCCUGAUUGGAUGAUGAUAAUGAUGAUGAUGAUUUUGUUGUUGUUGUUGUUAUUGUUGUUAUUAUUGUUGUUGUUGAUGUUAUAUAUUCAAAAUUUUAGUUGACUUUAUCAAAAAAAAAUUAAUGGACACAGAUCAUUAUUGUUUCUAUAAAAUUCUUAUGUACAUGAAUAUGAAUCCAUCAUCUUUUUUCUCUGUAACCACUCGUCUCAUUUACAAUCAACAUCCUCUCGAGUCCUCCUUGAGCAAAUGUAUUUCUAUGGAAAAGUCAAACAUCUUGUCAAAGUCAUUGUUAAAGAUAUAUAUACAUUGAAAACUAUGUUUUUUGUUUGAUUAAUUUAUCCUUAAAUUUUAUGUUGAUGGAGAAGGUUAAAGUAAGAUGGUUGUGUGGGAUGAGCAGGGUACCUUCCGGAGGUUAUAACUCAAGCUAUGGUGUUUGUUUUGCACAUAUAAUAUAUUGUUUCAAAGCUUGUAAUGAGACAAACCAAAUUCAAACUUCUUGGGCCAUUCUGCCCUAUGGUUUAGUCAGAAAUUCCACUUUUUUUCAGUCAUUUUUAAGUUAUUUUUCUAUUUUUCAUGUCACUUUUAAGAUUUUUAUCUUUAUAUAUAUAUAUAUAUUAGAUUUAGGUACCGUUUGUUUUGGUUUCCUAAUUAGUUAGUAGAAUUCUACUACAAAAUAAUGUUGCAGACUUUCCUAUUUUGGUAAAUUCGUGAUAUUUAUAGUAAUUAUAAAAGGGGCCCACAAUCCUAUUUUUGCUCAUUCAAACUUUUUAUAAUAAAAUUUCAUUACGUAGAAAUCUAGUUUUUCUUAUUUUUCAAUCUCCACGCUUUCGCAUCAUCAAAAGUCAGGUGUUAUAUUGCAUUUAUUUAAUUGGGAAUCCUAUUUUGCCCUAAUGAAUUAUAGAGUAAACUAACUAUGUAUUCAUGGAACGGUCUUUUGCGCUAUUGUUUGAAAAAUAAUUGUUUGAAAAAUAAGGAUGAAAUAGGCUAUUGUUUAAAAAAUAAGGAUGAAACGUGUUAUUGCGUCAAAACCUAAGGUGAAAAGGUAUUUUUUUUUCCUUUUAUUUAUAUAAAACAAUACAUUCUCUCAUUGACAACACAUAAGAUAAGUUUCACCGAAUCUUCGAGUGUGGUAUUGCGUAAUCGUUUACACUUUUCAGUUUUUAAGCCAGCAAAAAAUGAAAAAAAUUCAAAAUUACAUAAAUUGGAUAAAUUAGAUAAUUAACUCAAAUUAUUAACGGAAUAAUUGUCAUAAUACCUCCAUAAUAUUUCAUUUUGAUAGAUGUCUCUGGUUUGUAAAAUAACUUAAAUUGAUUAGAGCUAAUAAAAACUUUUUCAUUGUAAAAUAACUUAAACUAUGAGUUUAUGUAGGUUAAGUAUAACAAUUUCAUUGUAAAAUAACUUAAACUAUUUGAAAUUGUCAAAAAAAAAAACUGUAAUUUUUUAAUUAUUAACUUACAAAUUCACUGAAACUCGAAACCAAGGUCUGAGAAAAGCAUCACCGAAAGACACUUCAAAUGAGAUUUUAUAUCUCGUUUAAAGACACAUAUAACAAAAAGAAUUCCAAAGGACUUUUAAAAUGUGCUUCUUCAAAUAAAAUUGUCAUUCUCUCUUUUCAAUAUUAAAGAGAAAGAAGAACUAUCUCAUUUAAAGAAUCUUAUUUCAAAGUCUUUUAAAUCCUCUAGUUUAGUAUUAAAUUAUUUUUUGUCUCAUUAUUCUUAAAGAGAGGAAGUGUUAUAAUUGCUACUAUUUUGGUAGAGGAAGAAAUUUGAUUAAAAGAAAAUAAAUUUAUUUUUAUUUAAAGAGUUUUUUUGGGAGAUGUAUUAUUUUUUUACUUUUUUUCGUUUAAAUAUAAAUAUUAAUAUUUCUUCAGUCUUCAAAUAAAGGUUUAUCUUAUCUCUAUAGUUUCAAAGUUGAUCCUCUGGAUUGCAGUUGGCAACUAAACGCAAAAGCAUUUCUUAAUUUCUUUUCUGUUUCUUUUUCUCUCUCAAAAUAAAUACGGGGUUAAUAAAGAAAUUUUAUGAAACGGCCCUGACAGGCGCAGAGACCAAUUCUGUAAAAGUGCAAAGCUCGACGCGUGCCGACAUAGCUGCUGGUUGCAGACAUUCUUCUUCCUUAAGGGAAUAAUUUUGUGGCACUUUACUUUUUUUCGUUUAAAUAUAAAUAUUUAAAAAUUAGAUAUAAGUUUCAAAAGAUAAAUAAAGAAAUUUUAAAAAAAUUUUAAAAUUUCAGAUGUUUAAGAAAUAAGUUCUUAUAUUAAUUAUUAGGAUUUUCGCCUGAUUCCUUGUUUAAAUUAUUUUAAUUACCUAAUCAAUAGUUGUUUGAUUUGAUUCAAGUGGGAAUAGGCUCUCUUUCGAUGAUGUCACUAAGAUGACAUUAGCCCGGGUAACGUCAUUCGAUUUUCAUAUGGUUAUGCAAUGCCUUUUUUAAAAAUCUUUGCAUACGUCAAGUCAACAAGUUCGGCUGAAACGACGAAGAAAGCUGAAUUGUAAAAAAUGAGCUGGAUUCUGUAACAACCAGAUCCAACUUAGCCAGCUCCUGAUUGGUUAGCUAGCUACCAAACAAAAAAUGGCUACAACAGAGACUGAUUGGGAAUGGGAGGCUCAUUCCCACCUCUCCCUUGAGAAUGAGUCUCUCAUUCCUCAUUCUCAAAUUGUGAUGGACCCCAUGAUUCCGAUUUUGAUUCCCGACUCUAUUUUAUGAAUUAAAUGUUGUUAAUGAUUUUAAUUUCGGAUUUCGAUUCUCUAAUCUGGGAAGUAAACGUAAAAUUAAAUAUUUUAUUGUACCUAUCUACUUUAGUUAUUAACGACUAAAAUUUGUUCUCUUUUUAAUUUUUUUCUACUUUUCCAAAAUGCAUCAUAUUGAAAUAAAAUCUUACUUCUAGAACAUCCCACUUGUUUACUUUUAGCCCCGUCGUGCAUAAUUGAAACAUACUUCACUUCCAUUAUCAUCAUCGUGAUAUCAACCGAAGAUAGUUUGAAAAGAGCAAAAUCCAACAAAGUUAGUUUUUUUUUUUUAUACAUAUUUUUUCAUUGAUUAAAAUGGCUACAACAGAGAUUGAUUUAGAAAAUUUAAUUAAUUUAUCCUGCAAACCGAAGCUAGGCAUGGAGUUUGAUUCAGAAGAAGUAGCAUAUGAAUUCUAUAAAUUGACUAAUUGCCCCUCUUUUUGACACUUUUUCAUGGAAUGCAAAAAGUCCUGUACCCCGAGUGAGGGGAAAACAAUAAAAAAAAAAAAAAAAAAACAAUCACUCAAGACACAUGAAAUUCUAAUUUGGGCAAAUAUUAUUCCAAAAUGAUAGCCCAAUCGCUUAGUCUCCUUUUGUUUUGGCACCCUACCAACUCUUUUAAAACCCUUUCACUUAUUUGCUCCUUUUCCGUUUAUUACAAUAAUAACCUUAUUUUAAAAUUUCUUCAUCAAACAUGGAAACCAGUUAUCCAAUCGUCCUCUUCGAACCCCAUAAUCCUAUAUAUAUAUAUAUAUAUAUAUAUAUAUAUAUAUAUAUAUAUAUAUAUAUAUAUUCUUUCUGAUUCUUCUUAUUCUCUCACUCUUGUUUCCAUUUUUUUUCGCCUUCUCUCAUCUUUAGAUUCUUUUAAUCUAUUUUCAUUGCUUCCGAAAAUAAAAGAAAUAAAAAAUUUUAAUCAAACGUAUAAAUUAAUGAAAUUGUUAAUUUGUUGUACUGCAAAUACCAAUCAAAACUCGCAAUUCUCACUAACGAAAAUUUACUGGGGCAAUGACAAUGGAAAAAAGUAUUACUUUAUAACUCCAAACAAAAAAUGUAACAAUUAAUUUAAUGCCUAUUUGUUAAGUAUGAGCUUUAGUUUUAGAAAAGAUACCCAUGCCUAGAAUAAGCGUGUACUAGCGAAAUUACACCCAAAGUAUGUGUUUGUUGCAAACAAGGUUAUCGAUCGAAAGCCAAACAGGUCUUCCAAAAGUAAAACAUAAAGCAAAGACAAGAACCAUGGAUGAUGCUGGAUUAUUUAUCAAGCCAAAUAGGAAGAAGAAUAAUUGGUUUGUUAGUCAUUUUAUUGAGUCUCAUAUGGGUAGAUUUAAUGAAAUAGUGACAAUAAUGAUCAUAACUAAGGAAAAGAAGAGCUAGCAUGAACAUUUUGCACCACUGCAUUAUGAAUAUAAUUCCUUCAAAGUAAAGGCUCCAUAUAUGGAAUAUUAAUAUUGAAUUAAAGUUAGUUAUAUACAAUGUCUUACAUUGUACACCAUUAUUAUUAAAUUAUGUAAAUCAGUUCCUUUGUCCUUCACGCCAUGGCUAAAUACAUUUUCAUGCUUGUUGCAGAUCUCUGUGGUUAAUGUAGUGAGACCUUGCUGGAUCUUGAGCCAUUUAAUGGGAUGUGGCAAUUGAGCGAGAAUGGAAGACCUCGUGGGCGGUAUGAUGUAAUUAUCAUUGCUCGUAAUGGCGAUACAAUGCUGCUACCCUUGCUCUUUUUCUCUCAGCAGCAUUUUAUAGUCUUAAAAUUUUGCAUUAAGAAAAUGCAUGUUUUUGUUUAUUGCAGUGGCAAAAUGUUAAAUGGGCUUCGCUAUUGGGUAUAAAAAGGGAACAAUAUGAGAAAAUUUUUAAGUUUACAUUCCAUCAUUACCUUGGAUUAAGGAGCUGUGACUUUUAAUUUAUUGGGGAAUGGAGUUAAAACUUUAGCUGAUAGAUAAAAAUGGGUGUCUAUUAAAUAUCUUGGUUAUUAUGCUUUCAAAAUUAUGUAGAAGCAUAGUAGUCGUUAGAAAUGUACCCAAGUACCUGCAUAUCCGGCCGCCAAAAUAGGACGCAAUUCGAGUUAUCCAAACUUAAUGAAACUUGAAGUUUGUGUUUCAAAGUUCAGAGCUGAGUUAGUCAACCACAUCCAUGAAAUUAUCAUUAACGUUAUUAUUGUUAUUGUUAUUUUCCUUUUAAAACGGUGCCUUUGCUACAGCAGGGGAAUCAUGCGUGGGAACCAGAAUGAUAGGUACUGAUUCAAAGUCCCAAAAUCACAGUUUUGAGGUUUAACCCCCACACAAGGAAGAUAAGAAGCUAAAAUUAAUUACACGGUCACAUAAUUGGAAUUGCAUGGGCUGCAUGGGUGGACUUAGAAUGAAAUGGCAUGGCGGCCGAGGAAAAGAAGAACUAGCGGGAACAUUUUGCACCGCUGUAUCAUGACGGCAAUUCCUGCACAGUAACAAGCUUAUUAAUAUUUUAUAUAUGCCACACUAAUAAUUAGCUUAUUUAUACAAACAUCUUAAUUAUCAAGGCACAAAUGAACUUGGUAUUAACAUUGUGAGACGGGGUACAAAUACAGGCUUACCCUAGGUUUGAUUUGGUAGAGUUGGCAAUGGUGGAAGUGUUGGCCGGUGCUUGCAGAGGAUAGCGAUCCAGCUGCCAUGCUCAUUUCAAAACUUAGCGCUUAGCAGCAGAGGCGGCUCAACUAAUUUUGGGGCCAUAGAUGAGUUGUUUUAAUUAGGUCUUUUAAAAAAUUUGAGGUCAAAUAUAUAUUAGCUUUACCAAAAAGUUAUUUAUUUAAAAUUAAUUUUUCUAUCUUUCUUAGGUGGAAAAUUAUUGAUCAAAAUUUUAUAUUCUAAUUUCACUAAUUUUUUUAAUAUAGGUAAAUCAUUUAACUUUUCUUGUGACUUAGUUUAUGUUAAAUAAGUUUAUCAAUUUUAAUUUUGAAAAAUUUCGUUAAUUACUAAUUUUUCACUCUAAUUCACAUCUUUUUUAUUAUUUUUGACAAACUUAUCAAGAGCUCCUUUUUGAGAUCGAACUAACUUUUUUAUUCUUAUUUUUUCCCAGUUUUUUAUAUCUUGAUGUACAUUUUCUAUUGGACAUUUUUUUUCUUUUUUAGUGAAAGAAGAGUAAACAAGAAAACGAUUAUGCUAGAUAAUUAAAAGAAAAUAACAAUAAUAUUUAUAAAAGAAACAAUAACGAUUGAAUAACACAACUAAUUAAGAAAAGAAUAAGAAGAAAAAUCUUGAAUAUUUGAAACUUUAACUUUGAUGGAUUGAGAUUUUAAACAGUAAUGAUCAAUGGAAAUAUUUAAUUUUUUUCUUGAGCAAAAAUUACAGAAAGUGUUUUUUUUUUACCUUAUGCAUUAAAGUAUUGAAUGUGUCGUGCCUUUUUCUUUUAAUUGAUAAAAAUAUUAAUGAAUAACAAGUUAAGAAACCAAUGACUUUUAUAGAGUUUUAAAUGAAAUAUCAUUCAAUAGAGAUUUUGUAUGAAUAAAUAGAAUUAAAAUUAUUUAUUUCAACGUUAAAAAAGAGAUUUCGUAGGAAUUUAAUAAUUUAUUUAAGUAAAUAUUAUUAUAGAAUAAAAAUAAAAAUAAAAAAUUUAAAAAUUAUAAUGUUGAGAAGAAUUUGAGGCUUUCUAUGCUGGGACCCUAGGCACCUGGUUGCCUAAGAGAAAAGCCUUCCUGCUUAGCAGGUGCAGUGAGUUCUGCAGCAGUAUCUAUAAAUAAAAUAAAUGUAGUUUAUUUAUUUUUGAAAUAAUUAAAAACUUUUAUUUGCGCACCACCUUAAGUUUUUGUCCAAUCAAAGGAUAGGCUCCUUUCCCACCUUCUCAGUAAAUCCUUUUCGGAUUGGAAAAUGCUAUUUUUCCCGGGUCAAACCCCGGGUCAAACCCCGGGUCAAACCCCGAAUUAGUUCAAAACGGCGUCGUUUUGGCCUUUUUUUUUGUCUUUUUAGUUGCGUGAAACGUUGCCGUUUCAUCUUGUAAAAAAGAAAACAAACUAAACGAAGACGAUUUGCAGAGAAACAGCAACAAAGACGAUUUUUCAGCAACGAAAACAGCUCUUCAACAAACUAAACGAAGAGGAGGGCAGAGGAAUGAAGACGAUUUGCAGAGAAACAGCAACGAAAUCAGCUCUUCAACAAACUAAACGAAGAGGAGGGCAGAGGAAUGAAGACGUUGUGCAGAGAAAGUAAGGACGAUGACUAGACUUUUGGACACGUGUAUUUCUAGAAAUUCCUUCAAAAUGUUGAGAUAAAUGCAAGGCGCUUGGAAAUAUUACUACGCUUUUAAUGGCAAAAUUUUUGUUUCUUAAGCAAACGUGAUUGGUUCUUAAGAAUCUUAAUAAAGCACAUACAUAAUGGUUUUAAACUAUAUGUGAAUUGAAUAAAAUUGUCUACAACAAAAUAGUAACCGGAAGUCAUCCACAUUUUAACAAGAUAAAACCACCAAUAUUGCCGAUAAGUGUUCACAUAUAGAACACUAAUGCUUCCCGACAUCACAAUUAUAUAAGACGAUUUAAAAGUGAUAUGGAAACUGUCGAUAUCAAUUAAAGUAUCAUAUUUUUGAGUGCUAGUUGAAUCUUCCGGCACAAUUGUAGGUGGUCUGUUUUGACUUUUGAUUGCAACUCUUGGGCAAUGGCAAUCCACUAAGAACAAAGAUUUUCCUCAUAGCCACUCCCCUCAAAGGUUGUAAAUUGUUCCAGGGUAUGGCUAUUAUUAAGAGUUGAGUGGUAAGUUUAGAGUGUGAUUAUUAAUUUUUUGAAAUUUUUUUCGUGUUUUUGUUUGCUUUUAAUGGUUGAGGCAUCAAGUAUUAAGUGAAUAUAACAAACAAGGGAAAGUAAAGUUAGGAUAACAUAUACAUAUAGAAGUCUGAGUUUAAUUAAUUUGUCUCGUUUUAUUAUUAGUUAGCAGCUAUGGGCGGGCACUUGCAACUUAAUUUUCAAUCUACCUUGAUAGGGUUCUUGCUAGUGAUCAUCCUACUCCUUCACUACAAAUCAAAAGGCCACUAAAGAAGAAACUUCCCUCUUUUAGCAUAUCAUAUCUGGUUAAUUCUUCAAUUUCCUGUACUUGAGCAGGGAAAAAGUGUUUGCAUAAACAGCUUCAAGUGAGGAAACUUCAACAAUGGAGGCUACAAUGAUGAAGAAAUUGGUGGCAUUAGCUCUGUGAUCUUUCUUCUUGAACUUUGCGAGAUUGGCAACAACUUCGUUCAAACAAGCACUCAUCUUUCAUUUCUUAUAAAACCUCAAGAAUUGCCAUCUCAGUAUGUACUGUAAUAGGUAACUAGCUGAAGCCUUUUUUCCGAAUGAAGUUAUGCCCUGACCUAGUUGCCCUGAACCAAUUGCCCUGACAGCAUUAUAAUGAAUGGCAUGCAGUGCCAUUAACUUUUCAGUGUAGCUUUUGCUGGAAAGCUUUGGAUUAAUGAUGACAAGUAAUGUUGCACCCUUUUCAUCAAGACAGGAUUUGUUAGGGCCAAGCUUACUACCAAGCUCCUGAUAUAGCUCCUUUCUUAACCUCGCUAGCAGAACUCAAUCUGGAAGUUGCUAGUUUGAUCCAUAUUUGAAAUUGCACAUGCCAAAUCCAAGCAAAACAAAUUAAAACCCCACGUUAUAAUUUCGUAACAUUAACAAAUUCUAGACCAAUUCAAGCUUAAAUUGCAAACUAAAUCAGCAUAAAUUUCAGACCAAAUCAGCACAAUUUCAAGACCAAAUCAGCACAAUUUCAAGACCAAAUCAGCACAAUUUCCAGACCAACUCAAGCACAAAUUCCUCACCAAUUCAAGCACAAAUUGCAGACCAAUUCAUCACAAAUUCCAUACCACUUCAAGCACAAAUUGCAGACCAACUCAAGCACAAAUUCCAGACCAAUUACAGCACAAAUUACAGACUAAUUCAGCACAAAUGCAGACCAAUUCGAGCACACAAAUUGCAUACCAACUCAAGCACAAAUUCCAGACCAAUUCAGCACAAACACAGUUAUUUCCUUAACAUUUUAUUUUAACCGAAAAUUAAAUAAAACAGAAAUUGAUAGCUUUCAAAAUUGUCCCCAUUUUACCGUAACCUAGAAAAGCUAAAGAUCGAAGCAUUACCAGAGGCUGUGAUAACUGUGACGGUUCGUGAGUUCAUUGAGGAAUGCGCGUGAUGGCUGCCACGUUGAUGGUGACCGUGCCUGCGCGAAUGGCAGAAACUUCCAGAUUUGGGUGGGGAAGACGAGAAAACGAAGAGGGGAAUACGAAAACGAAGAGGAGGGGAAGACGAAAACGAAGAGGACAAAACGAAUGGCAGAAAACGAAUGCGAAUUUCCCUGGUGAAACGAUGAGGGGAAGAUGAAAUCGGAGAACGAAGAGGGGAAAAUGAAAUCGAAGAACGAAGAGAGGAAAACGAAGAGGAGAGCUUUUGUUAGGGUGAAACGGUAGCGUUUCAAAUAAAAGAGGAAACGACGUCGUUUUGUUUUAGUUUUCGGGGUUUGACCCGGGGCAAAUAGCAGAACUCUUUGAGAUUUCCGUACCCUUCAUAGACGUGGCGGAUAGCAAGAGGAGGAAAAGAAGUCGUGUUGACGUUUUAGAAGAAGAUAAAAUUGGAAUGAGUUCUGCUAUUUGCCCCGGGUCAAAUCCCGGGUCAAACCCCAAAAGCAACAAACGAACGACGCCGUUUCAAUCUCAUUUUUUUUCCCUCUCAUUCAACCUAAACGACGUCGUUUUGGAAAAGUUGUUACAGCCGAAAUGGGUUUCUCUUUGUUUUCGCCUCACAGCCCCUGUCCCGUUCGUUUCAGCUUGUUUGAGGCAAAAUCAACAGCCCCAACUCUCUCUCUCUUCGUUUUCUCUUCAGUCUCACUACAACCCCAAAAUAACUCAAAUUCGCAAAGUUAUACAAUCACUUCCACAACAGUUAAUAAUGAACCAAAAAUAUGCCCAAAAACUGCAAUUCGUAAAGCUAUACAAUCACUUCACAGCAGUUAAUAAUGAACCAGAAAUAUGCCCAAAAACUGCAAUUCGCAAAGCUAUACAAUCACUUCCACAACUAAAAAUCUGCCCAAAAUAACUGCAAUUCGCAAAGCUCAAAUGUGUUGUUAUAACACAAGUUAUCACAUUUCAGUCAUGAGCAAAUGGCACGAAGCUGAAACGAAGUUGUUGAUUUCAGUCAGGAGAAAGAAAGCAAUUUGGGGAUGUUGUUGAUUUUGCCCUAACGACGCUGAAAUGAAGGGGGGGAGAAACAGAGGAAUAGAAUGAGAAAGGGGAUGUGAGACGAAGACAAAGAGAAACCAAUUUCAACUGAAUUUUUAAGGGGCUUGGUUGACAGGAACCCAAAUUAUACUUUGACAUUUGCUGGGCAUUCAUUGGGGGCAGGGGUGGUGGCAUUGUUGGUAUUGAUUGUGGUUCAGAAUCUGGACAAGUUGGGGAACAUUGAGAGGAACAAAAUCAGAUGCUUUGCUAUUGCACCUACUAAGUGUAUGUCAUUGAAUUUGGCAGUGAGAUAUGAAUGGAUCGUGAAUGGUUGUGAGACAAAGGGGAAGACGGAAGAGAAAGAGAAAGCAAUGGUUUUGCCCUAGCCAAAACGGCGUCGUUUAGGGAGAAUGAAAGAGAGAAAAAAAAAGAGAAUGAAACGGCGUCGUUUGGAUGGGUUUCGGGGUUUGACCCGGGGAAAGUAGCAUUUUCCAAUUGGAAUAAGCAGAAGAGCGCUGAUAGAUGCCCCGGGUCAAACCCCGGGUCAAGCCCCGAAGCUUUAAUAAAACAACACCGUUUUAUUAGUUUUUUGGGUCGUUUUAAUUUUUCUUAAAACAACGUCGUUUUGCUUGAGCAUUCCAGCUCUGUAUCAAACUCAUCUUUCUCUUGUAAUAAAGAAACAGAAAACUCAUCUUUCUCUUUCGAUUUUUCACUUCACCACAAAACCCAACUACAUAACCCCAACUGCAAAACCCCUCAAGAUCUAUGUGUGUGUUGAGCCUUGAAAUUCUGCUGUCUCUGUUAUUUAUAAUCUCUACUACUUCAUGACAGUCUGAUUCAAGCAACACAGAGGUUCCCCCCACUCUCAAAGCAACCUGCAAUCCCCAUUUCACAGCCGCAGCUUCAGCCAUUGCCACGUUGCCAAAGUAUCUAGAAGUGUUAAUGGCAGCAGUUAUACAAUUUUGGUUCCCGUCUGUUAUUACCACCCCCAGCCCAGCUACCUGUUUCUCAGCGUUCACUGCAGCAUCUACAUUUACCUUUAGCCACCCAUUUGGAAGAGAAUGCCCCUGGUUUUCCUUAGCCUCCCUUUUCUGAUUUGGCCUUAACCCAUCAUACUGGCUGACAUUUUUAAGAGACUCCACAACUGAUUCAACUCUUGCUACUAAUCUGGCUGGAGCCUCUUGUUUCCCUUCAAAAAGCCAUUUAUUCCUAGCGUUUCAUAUCACCCAAAGUAGAGCUGCAAUUGAUUCCUUCUCUACAAUUUUUUUGCUGCUUUGUCAUAUCUUCCAUCAAUCUAAUUAUAUCAUGGAAUUGACCUUCUGGAGGUCUCCCUUCCGAUUUGAAAAGAAUCGGAAUUUAUUACUGAUUGUGGAUUGAGGACUUCGAAUGGCUGUGCUGCACUUAAUCGAUAAAGGAAAGGGGCUUGGCAAAACGGUGCGUUUUGCGGGUUAAUAAAAAUGGUGCGUUUCAUUUUCGGGGUUUGACCCGGGGCAAACAUCAUUUUCCUAAGCAGAAGCAAACUUUCCGUGCUGUGCACAUGCGCUAUCAGAUGAUUGAGUGGAGGGAAAAAUUGUAGGCCUAUUUAUCUUCAAUUUUACGGUGGCAGCUACGGGCGGGCAUCGGUUCGGUUAAUUUCAGUUUUAGGGUAAAUUUUUAGUUUUGGUUCGGUUCGGUUCAGAUUUUAAAUUUAAAAAAUUCAUUCAAUUUUUAGAGAAAAUAAAAAUCGAACCGGAUUUUAAACUGAGUUCUAAGUUUAUUAAGUGAUGUUCAAGACUGACUGGAUUUCAUAUUCAGGUCGGGUAUUACAAUACCCGAGUACUGUUCGGGUCCGGACCGGGCGGGUAUUUUACCACCCUUAAUUAUUAUCUUCUUUCGUUUUCGUUUCUACGUUUCAAGAUUUUCUAAUUAUUUAAUUAUGCUAUUUUCUUUUAAUAUGGUACUCACACACACCACACAGGCAAUCCCAUUGAUUACAACUUUCUCAUCUUAUUUGAAUAAUUAAGAUGUCUUUUUGUGUGCACAUGGGCUGUAAGAUGAUUAUGUUGUGGGAAAAAUUGUGAUAAAAUUUUGGACCCAGUUGCCUUCGAUUUUUCACUGCCGAAAAUUGCGGCUAUGUGUUCAGACUAUCUUAAUGCAGUUUAACCAUGCAAAGUUUUUGGGUAUUAUUCAUUGCGUGACAUUGGAGACAAUUUAUAUUUAAUAGUUGGUUAGGCAUUUUGCUUGAUAUUAUUUGGACUCGUAGGGGUGAUAAAAUUUUUGUUCAUAAUUUUAUAAUUCAGAUCUUAUUAUAAUAAGAUAGCAAUUUUUUUAUUGUGGGUCGGAUUCUCUCAACUGAUAUUUAGCUAAAAAUAUCUCACUAAUUCCUAUUAGUUAAGUAUUUUUAAAUUCAUAUACAUGAUUUUUAUUGUUUUUUAUAUGUGAGAUUCUAUAUAUCGUUCAUAAGAAACAAGCUAUUAUGUAAUCCAUUCGUUAAAUCUAUUUAUAUGUAGGGUGCUCUGAUUUUUACUACCCUUUCAGCCAUGCAAGUUUGGGGGAACAUGAAUGGUGCGUGAGUAUGCUGUUGCAAAUCCCAGCUCUUUUUUUUUUUCCCCCCAAUUUUGUCCAUAACUACCAACCACAUCAGUUUAAUUUCCAACUAUUUUCUCUUCAUUUCGCGAAUAUUUUUUACUACUUUAAUGCAAAUGCUUGCUGCUUCUAUUACAAUUCUUUUAAUAAAAUGGCUUUCAAUGUAAAUUGUUAAUUUUUUAAAUAGAAUUAACACCAUCUGUAUGAAUCACAUGGAGCUUUUACAAGAUUAUUGUGACCAAUUCCCGCUGUUGGCGAUAAGUUGAAAGCAUUAAUGGCUCCUUUUUAUCCACGUCGCACAGAGGUUUAUCGCUGGGGAUUACUUAAUUGGGUUGUCAUUCAACAGUAGCGUUCAACUUGGCCUAGUGGCAGCUGCUUAAAGCAAGAGUCCGAGGACCAAAAGGAUCGUCCCUUCCCACUUGAUCCGUUGAUCUUAAACUGUGAAUUCGCCUUCGUCGACGAGUUCCAUGAAAAAUGUAACUGAAAAAACGCGAUGAUCAAAUCAUGGUUUUUAAUUAUUUUAAUAAUUAGCACGGGUAGAAAUUAAAUAAAUAUAAUACUUUUAAAAUUAAAUAAAUAUAUAGUAAUAUUAUUAAUUCUUUAUGAAUAUAAUAAUAUUAUGUUUUAAACAAUUUUAACUUAGAUUAAUGAAAUUAUUAUUUUAAAUAAAUGUAAUAUUAUUUAAAUAAAUAUAAUAUUGUUAUUUUUAAGACAUUAUUUUAUUUUAAUACAUUGAAUUAUGUUACAUUUAAUAAAAAAAUGAGUAAAAGAGGAAGAGGUGGGAGUGGAAAUCUCACUCCACACUCCAAAAAUGAGUGGGACCCACGGAGUGAGAUUCCUAAUCUCCUCCUAAAAUAAGCAAGUAAACAGUAGGAGGAAUUCAUAUUCUCCACUCAUACUCGAGCAAGUAAACAUAACAUAAUAUUCUAAAUUAGUAUAUAUUUAUCAAUUUUAACAUAGUUGAUGAUGUUUCGACAAGAAAAAUAUUCAUAAAAAUUAUAAAGACAAGUAAUGCUCAUUUGAAAAAAAUAAAAAGAUAAAAACAAUAAUUAUCUACCAAUAUAUAUUAUCACAAGCUAUAGAGAUGAGUAAUAAUGCUAAUUAUUAAAUUUUAUUUAAGUAAUGAUGAAAAUUAAUUAAUUAGAUGAGAAUAUUUUAAAGAAUAUCUUUUCAUGAUAUCAUUAAGGCUUUUUUGAUUAAGUAAAAAGCUAAAAAAAUAGUUUAAUGACUCAAUAAUGAUGUACUAAAAUUUUUAAUUAAAUUAAAAAUAAACAAACUUAAUAACUUAACUGAUUAAAAUUAAGUCAAUGAAGUCAUUAAGUCAAAAAAAAAAAAAACAAACGGAAUAUUCUAGUCACGUGAAGGUACGGGAUUUGUAUGAUUAUGCUACUCAAUUUUUGAUAAUUACUGUUUCAAAUAUAAAUGUGCAAUUGAGCAUGGCAAUUUGUUGGGUGUUAAAAUAUUGUAGGGUAAGUACAUACACUUAGUACAUUAUUAUUGCUAUUUGAAUGCCACUGCUACAUUAAGGCAAUGACAUUUGGUUUGUGCCAUACUGAGAAAAAAAAAAAAAAAAAUCCUUUGAGCCUACAGGAACGGGACUAUCCUUAUAAUUGCCGUAUUUCCUCAAUGGAUGUAUCUUUUAAGCUCUUCAUUUGGCAUAUGAAAUUUAUUGAAAGAAAGCAAAUGAUCAGGAGCUGGUCUUAAAAGCAUGUUAUUCGAGGAAUACAAUACAAACAGUAAUAGGAUUUGAGACAAUUCAUAGAGCUUUCCUUGAGUGAAGAAUAGUUAUUUAAACUGACAUGAUAAGCUCUUCCAAUUUAUUCAAAGAAUUAUGAGAAUAACCACCUCAGGUAAGUUAACUGAAAAAUUGCCCAAAACUGGAUAAUUCAUAUUCAUGCCACGCAACCCCGCUUUGUUAAUUUUAAACUCCAAUUAAGUAUUCUAAUCUAUCUUCAUUUAUUUUAGCAUGUGUUUCCUUUCCAAUUAAUGCGUACGGAAUCCUUUUUAUAAUUGGUGGUCAUCGUCAGAGUGGAAGUGUGGCCAAAUCCGCCUGAGUCAACCUAUACACGUGCAUUGAGUUGAAAAUUUGCAGUUUAGUUUACUUUUUUCUUUAAUUAAUUUUUUUAUCAUUUUUGCUUUCCCUAUUCCCUUAAAAGUAAUUAUUGUAAUCUGCAUGAAGUUCAUCGGCGCCACUUCUUCACAAUUUUCAAACCUUUCUAUGACCUGACACAAAUCCGGGGACCGAGGAGUCAGGAGUCCAAUCUCAAUUGCAUUCAAGAUUUGAGAACGUGUUGCACACGACCAAAUCUUAAAAUCAAAUUAAAAGAAAAAUUAUUAUUGCAACAUCUCUUUUUUAUUUUAUAUUUAUUUAAUUAUUAUAAAAUUUUAAUAUAUUUUUUACACCAUUUUUUUUUUAAAUUUGUAUCAAUUAAUUAUUUUUACACUAAUAUUAUUUACUAAUUUAAAUAAAACGAUAAUUUUAUCCUUAAAUAAAUUAAAAGAUCAUUCUAUUUUAUAAAAAUUUAAAAAAUAAAAAAUUAUAAUUAUAAAAAUACCCUUAAAUUUAAUAUAAAAAAUCACAAAUAGAGGUGCUUAUAUUUUUAUUAAAUUUAGAAUUUGUAAAAUUUUAAUAAAUAUUUUAUUAAAAAUUAUAAUUUCAUAAAAUUUUAUUAAAAUAACUGAAUUUAUUUAUUAAAAAAUAAAUCCCAAAAUUUUGUACUUAUUUUUAUAAUUAUAAUUUUUAUUAAAAUAAUUAUUGAUUAGAAAUAAAUACAAUAGUUUUUCAUACCACGCUGUGACACUUAGUGUACAUGCAACUUAGUGUAUAUUUUAAGUUUCUUCAAUAAUUUUUUAUUAAAGAUAAAUACAUUAGUUUUUCAAACCAUGCCAUGACACUGUUCAUAGUAUAAAUCUAAAAUGAGACUUGUGACUGCACUUUUGAUAUGAUUAUUGCCAUGUUUUGUGAUUGAGGAGUUGUGACUCGUAAUCUAUUGAGGAGUGGAUAUUAAUCUUUCGGAGUUAUGUAGAGGCAUGGUAGUUGGCAAUGCACUCCAGUCAAAGGGUAGGGCCGAUGGGCUCCUUUGCCGCCUUCCCGGAACUUUCCUUUUGGGAUUAGGAGGAAGAGAUGCCUUGUUGACUAUCUAGAAAAGGAACUGGCAGACGCACACUUAAAACCUUCCAAUUCAGCCGAGUAGGAUGCCUUCCUGCGCCGGGCACAUGGGCUGGGAGACGAUUGAAUUUUCGGGCAAAUUUGCAGACGUCGUUCAAUUUUUCAGCCGGCGAAAGUUGUGGAUAAUUCACCACCAACGUGUAAUUUAAACGGCUUCGAAGAAGAAAUUAAUGUUAUCGUAUGAUAUAAUUAUAAAACGUCAAAAAGUGUAAUUAGAAAAUAGGUUAUUACUAUCUUGUAGAUGCCGGAUACAGAAAUGCUGAAGGAUUCCUUGCACCGUAUAGGGGAACAAGAUAUCACUUAUCCGAAUGGAGAGAUGGGUGUGCUCCUCAGAAUAAAGAGGAGUUCUUUAACAUGAAACAUUCCUCAACAAGAAAUGUAAUUGAGCGAUGUUUCAGAUUGCUCAAAAUGCGAUGGGCCAUUCUUCGAAGUCCUUCAUUCUAUCCAAUUAAAACCCAAUGUCGCAUUAUUACGGCAUGUUGUUUAUUACAUAAUCUGAUUAGGAGAGAAAUGCUUGUGGAUCCAAUAGAGCAUGAGUUACUUGACAUAUCUAACAAUGAAGUAGACGAUAGUGAUAACAUAAGUAGCCUUGAAGCUUUAGACCAAUGGACGAGUUGGAGGAAUGAUUUAGCUACUGCAAUGUAUAAUAAUUGGUUGGGCAAUUAGGUUGUUGUACUUUUGUUAAUAUAUAUAUUAGGAAAGUAUUUAAGGAUAUACUUUUGUUAAUAUAUAGAUGUUAUUAGGAAAGUAUCUAAGGCUGUACUUUUGCUAGUAUAUCGAUGUCUGUAGGAGGUAUAUAGUGAUUGAGCAGGGUCGUGUCCACAGAGAUCGGUAAUUAUUUAAAUCCUUUUGAAACGUAAAACGUAAAAUGGGAGAAUUGUUGACAAUAAUAAAAAUCAAAUAAAAAUAACAAGAAUGCAAAUUAAAGUUGUAAGUCAAAUUGGAGAAAGCUCUGGUUGAAGGAAUUAACUCAGCUUGAUUCGACUACUGAUCAUUGAUUCAAAUAUAGAUUAUUAUUACUUAUGAAUAGACCGGUUAUAGCUAUUGAGACCCUCUAAUAGCCAAUCUCUCCUUAACUAGUUGAUAAUCAAGGUACGACCGUUGGAUAUUUUCCUAAUCAAUAGACAAUCCUAGAUACGAUCAUAUGAUUUAAUCAAUUGACAGCCUGAAAAACCGGAGAGACCCAAAUCCUAAUCAACACAUAUGAUGAUUCAUUUAAAUUAGAUUGUUUAUUUUCAUAACACAACUCACUGCUAUGUUAUUUGUCACCAACAUUAAAAUCUUCAUACGAUGAAUCCUUUAAUUGACAAUAGAUUAAGUUGAUAAUUAAAUAGUGGUCAAUUACCUAAUUAACAAACAUAAUCAUGAAACUAAUUUAGAGAAUAAACAAAUACCCAAAAAGUAAUAAAAUAAUUAAAGCAUAAGAAAGAUCUCACAGUAGUGAUGAAUCAAAGCUUCAUUAACCUUCAACCAGAAAAAUAAGUUUAAUUCUUCAUAGAGAGAAAAGAAAAAUUAGAUCUAGUGUUUCUUUCUUUUUCUCCAAUUCAAAUCCCUUUUUUUCACAAUGGAUUCCUCCAUUAAAUACUCUCUCUCUCUUCUCUUUUAGAGUUUUAUUUAAAAUAAAAUACUAAUAUCUGAAAUAUUAAAUUCGUAAUUUCAAAAAUAGCCAAAAAUACAAAACACGUUAAACUAAAAACUGCAGGUCCGCAGUUGACAGCACGCGCCCACGCCUUAUCAACAAAGUUCUUCUGCCGCUCAUAAUUUCUCCAAGAGAGCAAUCAUCCUUAAACAUUAUCUUGUAGCUCAAUUUUAUCACUAAUUAAUAGAAUUGCACCUACAAAAGUAAAUCACUAUUAUUAAGUGCAAAACAUCGAUAUUAAGGGAAGUAAACAAUGCAAAACUAGUGCAUAAAUUGCACUCUAACAUCCAUCUCCUCCAACGACCAUCCUACUCAAAAUCCACCAUCGAAUUUUCUACAAACUAGGCUUCAAUUAAUGCAAAUAGACUUGCAAAUCAAAGUGGCGCAAGCCGUUCACUUCUUGAAUGACAAGACUAAAUAAUGUAACCGGGUAGCAGCAAAUUAGUGGCUCAUUUAGUUUCGACAAACCAACGCUGCUUGAGAGGUCGCAACCUCUAUCCUCUCCUCGGAUCUCCAGUUGUUGCUAGCCAAUUUCAAAGUCGAGUUCUUGGCUACUCAAAUUCUUAAGAGAAAGAUAAAUUUCUAGGGUUUUAAUUCUAGUUUUAUGAUAAAUUGCUGAGUAUAAUUUGAUUUUCUUGGGUGCAUUUGUUAAUCAAUCAAUUACCAAUACAUGUAAUUUACUGGAAAUUUGCAAUUCUCUGCAGGCAGCUGAUCAACACCAGUAAUGGCCUUUUUAAUUUCUAUAUUCAUUCUUCCUUAAUUUACUCAUGGUUUGGAGAUCUAUAGAAUUGGAUCAAAUCCCAUCUCUUUUUUCCUCAAACAUUUACCAAAUCCAUAUUCUCCUCCACAAUCCCUAAAUCGUUCCCUCCUCCUUUCUCAGUGAUUUUUGCCUUCUCAAACGAUGAUGAAAGGUGAAACCUUUUGGUCCGAUUACCCAUCAGUUAUCCCUAACCAAUUCAGUCGGUUCCCUUUUUUUAUUACUGCUGCAUAAAUUAAACUUCAACCGUUUGAUUGAAAUUGAAGAUAUCUAAUGGCCGAUAUUAAUCAGACUGUAAAAUACAUUAAAUACAAACUCAAGGAUUGCCUAAACUCUUUAUUAUUAAUCUAUAUCCUAUAAAGUACAAACUCUUUGUUAUUAAUCUAUAUUAAACUCAUGUCUUUUUCUAUACACAGUUGGCCUCCGUGCAAAAAGCAGCUUUCCGCGCGUAAAUCUUGUGUUAAUUUGUGUUAAUUAAUGAUUUAUUUAUAUUAAUCAUCUUAUCAGCUUGCGGAGAUGUAUACCACUUAAAUCCACAAUCAUUCAACCAAUGAGGGUCCGUUCUAACGAGCCAUCCAUUUUCAAACACGGUUUCUUGUGAGCUUCGGCAGCGUUGUUGUUGUUCAAUCCCCAAAAGGAGAAAUUCUAGAAUAUAUAUAAGGUACCAUGUUAGUUAUAAAAAAAUUAGUAUUAAUUAUUCUAGAAUUUCUCCCCCAAAAGUUAGUUUAGUAUUAAUUAUUCUAAUGUCGUUUUCCUCAAUUAGUUAAGUUAUGAUGCAUGAAACUUAUAUAAGGCUCACAUUGAACACGUAUUCAAACGCUGAAAAUAUCCAUACUAAUUUACUACGCGAGCAACUAGAUACACCAAAUACGAUUUUAAUUUCUCAGUUACUUCUCGAAUAUAAAUGGGUAAUUAAAAAAAAAUCGUGUUGUUGGGAGGUAAAUUUGAAAGGUUAUUUACGGGCUAACAACACAUUGACACAUGGUAUGAAAAAAAUGACACCUUAGUUGUCCCACACGAACCAACCAUGAAUAAGAACAGUUCUAAUUAGUUCUUCAGAAAGCAAUAGUAGCAAAAGCAUUAAUAAUUUAUUAUUAAUCUAUCUUAAACUCAUGUCUCUUUCUAAACACAAUUGGCCUUGGUGCAAAAAGCAGCUUUCCGCGCCUAAAUCUUGUGUUAAUUUAGUGCAUGAUCUUAAGCAACAUCUUUGAUUUGCCUAAUAUCAUAUCAUAUGUACUCUCUCAUACAUAAUAAAUUAUUAAAUUAGUGAUUUAUUCUUAAUAAGUUUUUUAGCAUUAAUUUGGGUGAAGGGGGACACAAUAGAUACAAUUGCACAUGACUGGAAGGUAUUGAAAUCAAAAUUAGUGUUCAGUUGAGCCGGCUGUAUUGAAACAAAUUUCCUCCGCAAGGAUUUAUUUUGACCGUGCACAAUUGAAAAAGGAUGUCCAUCACUCCCAUCCAAGUUUUAGCAGAAUAUGCAUACACUGUGAUAGCUGUCAAGUCAUCUAUUUUGACCGUGCACUACGGUCCAAAUUUCAUGAUCAAAUAGAUCACGUGGCGAGAUCAGAGUGGGGUAAUGUAGAAUAGGGGACUUAGAAAACUAAACAUUUUUAUUGGUUAACUAAAUCAUUUAUGUCUUCCUUAUGUCUUCUCUCAGUUCAAAUUGCAGAACUCAAUUUUUUAUUGUUAAAAAUAUAAAAAAGGAGAAAAUAACAAAAUCUGGGGAGAGUGAGGAAGCUUGAUGGGGAGCCGCAAAGAGUGAAGCCAGAGACAGAGAGAGGGUGAAAGUCAAGAGAGGCACAGAGUGAUGGGAAUUUGGUAGAUGUGAGUGGUCUUCUGUCAAAAUUUUCCCUCUUUUUAUAUUUUUAAUAAUAAAAAAUUAUUAGAAUGGUGAGAGAGUGAGAAGUCGGCAGCACAACUCAUUUCGCAGAAUACUAUAUUAAAGAAACAUACUUCUUUAGUUGAAACACCUCAAAGAAACCCAGAAACCCUUCAAAAUUCAAACCUAAAAAAAUGUGCCUCGGAAACAAACCAUAUCAGUUCUCUGUUUCCUGGGAUGAGGACGAAAACCUCGUUCACUUCAAGUGCCGUCUUCCAUCAACGACGAAGCGAGGGGAUGUGAAGGUUGAGAUUGAUGAACAUGGGAAAUUGCUUAUAGAAGAAAUAAGCAAAGUGGUAAGUUCACAUAUUGAUCCUCUCUCUUCAGCUUCUUCCUUGAUGAUCAGACUCAGAUCCUCUCUCCUAAGCUUCCUGAAGAAAAAUGAGGGAGACACCACCAGCCCGAUAGGCCCGAUAGAAUUCAACUUGCCACCGGGUCUGGACACGAAUGACUUCGAGACUGAGAUCGAUGACGACGGGUUGCUAACUCUCACUUUCAAAAAGCUGGUGCCCAUUCAUUCCGAAACGCCCUCCGACCUCGAAAAGGCCUCCGUGGAGUGGAAGAACAAAAAGCUCGUCUCUCACUUCAAGGCCUAUCUGCCGGCGGGGACGAAGAUGGACGACAUGACGGUUGGCAUAGAAGGUGGCAAAUCCCUUGUGAUAGGCAUUCAUGAUCGGCUGAAGAAAGAGGAAGGGGAGACCAGUACUUGCAUGUGCUUCAAUGGCAAGAACUUUAAGAGCUUCAUUUUGCCAGAUGGUGUGAACCCGAAUGGCUUCGAGACUGCAAUGGAUGAUGCUGGCGUUCUAACUGUUACCUUCACUAAACUCAAGCCGGAGAAGAAAAAGCUGGGGCCAAUAGCGAAGAAGACGCUGGGAUGUUUGGCUGAUGCUGCUGGUAUGCUGAUAUGUGAGAAGAUAAGUGAUGCGAUUUGUCCAGGAGACUGCUAACAAGCUGGUGUCGUCGUGUCGGAAUUUGCUUUAUGUUCACGUAUGUUGUUUCUAUCGUUUAUCUGUUAGUGUUAAAAAAACAACUGUGGACUCCAGAGUCUAGACCAGGUGUUGGUCAAUUUCUGUCUUGUGUGGUGUUGUAUCUCCUUUGUUUCAGUGGAAAAGAAGAGCUUUGUCUAAUAAAAAAUGAUAAAUGUUGUUGGGUAAAAAAAAAAAAAUGCUUUCUUUGCCUUUUAAAUAGUAUUGAAUGAAAAAAAAAUGGUUCGUUUUUCUGCUCCCGAUCGGGGAGCUCAAAUGUUCCACUUUCAUACGUACGUGCGUAACGAGAUAGCCACAGGAUAAAGGAGUAACUGCAGCGGGGUCAGGUGUAGAAUCUGCAAGAUGGCAGCAUGGCAUCAAAUUCUUUUUUUUUUUUCCUAACCACGAGAUGUUUUGGGAGGACCCAUCCAUAGGAGCCACCUUUAAUCAUUUUUUUUUAAUUGUUACCGCUGGGACCAUUUUUAAAUUAAAAAAAAAAAACCAAUUUGAGUGCAUGGAUAAUGGGUUUGAGCCAAUGGUCGAGCCAUAGCCCCACAUUUCCCCUUCGACAGCCUCCCAUUUCAACGCAGUAGAGACAGAGUAAAGGCAACUUUUGAAGAUAAGAACGAGACGACAAAGAAAAUAAAAUGACCCAUGUCCAUAGAUAUCUGCAUCAAAUCCUCAGGUCUCUGCACCGAUACAUACACAAAUAUUUCAAGAUCAUGACAACUUCUGCAACUCACUCCUUUGAGCUUCAAGCUGGCCAUCGUAUGAAUAACUGGGUAAUAUGCGACAACAAAGAUUUACCUUCACUGAACUGAAGCCAGAGCAAAAGCCGGAGUCAAGAUCAAAGAAGAUCCUGCGAGGUUUGGCUAAAGCAGUGCCUGUUUGUUUCUUGAUAGGUUACGAGAUAAGUUGAGCAGACUAGUAAAUUAGCUGGUGUCUGGUUAGGUAUUUGCUAACAUCAGGUUCAUGUAUGGCGCAUCAUAUUCAUGUAUGUUGUUCUGUCCUUUAUGUAUUAGUAUUUGUAAAUAACUCUAGAGUAUCUUAAUUAAUGGAUCUAUCUUUUAAGGCCUGAAUUUGGCACAUGAAGUUUAUUGAAUGAAAGCAAAUCAGGAGUUGGUCUUAAAAGCAUGCUGUUCAAGGAAUACAAUACAAACAGUAAAAUUAUUUGAGACAAUUCGCACGGCUUCCCUUUGAGUGAAAAAUGAUCUUUCAUUCGUUUUAGCGUGUGUUUCAUAAUUCUCUCUUCUUUUUUUGGGCCCUCUCCUAUUUUGGCUUGAAUUAGUUGUUGUUGAUUUGGUGAAAAAGCAAACUGCUCUACUCUAAUACAAUUGGUAUUAGAGUAGUUCGCUUCACUGAAGUUGGACUUAAGAGUGUGUGUGGCUUUGUGACCGAAGGGGUGCCCCCUAGUCAGGGUGUGUGAGUUCCACCCUCUAAAGUUGGCCCCAGGGUGUGUGAGUGGCUUUGUGACCAUGGGGUCGUCACCUAGUUGGGAUGUGUGAGUUCUACCUUAUGAGUUUGUAACAAUUGAUGUAGAGCAGUUUUAUUGACCCAGGUAACAAAUCUUUUUAUAUUUUUCUUUUGUGUUCUUUUAUUGUUGAUUUUACAUGCUUCUUUGCAUAAAAAAUGUGGAAAUUGUCUAAUUAAGUCACAAUGGUAAGAAUCUGCAGUAUUAUUUUGAGGUUUGUUGGAAGGUAGUUUUGAAAUUUGGGUACAAAGUCUCAAAGUCAUUAUAAUUUUGAGUUCUGACCAGAGAAGGAAGAUAAGAGUAUAUCAAACUUAAACCACAAUUACAUGAUCACAUUAUUUCGGUUGCUUAGGCUAUAUGGGUAGACUGAAAGAAAUAGUGACGAUACUGAUCAUAACUGAGGAAAAGAAGAGCUAGCGUGAACAUUUUGCACCACUGUAUUAUGAAUAUAAUUCCUUCAAAGUAAAAGGCUCUAUAUAUGGAAUAUUAAAAUUGAAUUGGAGUUGGUUAUAUACAAUGUCUUAUAUGGUACACCAUUAUUAUUAAAGUAUGUAAAUCAGUUCAUUUGUCCUUCAUGCCAUGGCUAAAUACUUUUUCAUGCUUGUUGCAGACCUCUGUGGUUAAUGUAGUGAGACGCUGCAGGAUCUUGAGCCAUUUAAUAGGAUGUGGCACUUGAGCGAGAAUGGAGAACCUCGUGGGCAGUUUGAUGUAAUUAUUGCUGCUCGUAAUGGUGAUAUAGUGCUGCUACCUUUGCUCUCUCUCUCAGUAGAAAUUUAUUGUCUUAAGAUUUUGCAUUAAGAAAAUGCAUGUUUUUGUUUAUUGCAGUGGCAAAAUGUUAAAAUAGGCUUGGCUAUUGGGGAAAAAAAAGAAAAAAAGAAAAAAAAAGAAAAUUUUCAGUUUUACAUUCCAUCAUUACCCUGGAUCCAGGAGUGGCAAAGGUUCAAGUUUUGUACAGCAGUGCAGGGAAACCCUAUGUAAAUCUAAACCCCUAUGAGAGGGAUCCCACUCCAUGACAAAUCUUGAGGGCUUUGAGUUGGAAUACUCUGGCAGGUUAGAAGUUGUGUCAAUUAAUUAUCUAUAAAAUAUAUGUUACAUUGUAUGACUAUAUAGUGAUUCAUUUUGGGAUACGAGGACAUCGCAAAGAGCUAAAAAUUUCAAACAGGUUUCUUCCCUAGAUUUGGUGAAAAGGUGAUGGAUAGAUUACUGCUAAUCUUCAUAGCAAUUUUCAGCUGUAAACAUCUAGAAGGCUGGGACUAAAUGCCAUUUGAUUAGGUUAGAAUAAUAUGAGAUGAGCUUUCAAUCUAUAUCAUUCAUUCAAUUGCUUUUUCAGAUGUCCACAAUUCAUCAUGUUGAUAAUAUCCUGUUGGUGCCUAGUAAAUUUCCUUUAUGACUAUGAUAUAAGGUGUUAUGGAAGAGUUGAAAACAUCUGAUAUAAAUGAGUAGCUAGAAUAGGUUCUGGAUGAUAAAAAAUAAAAAAAAAAUUAUGCCUGUUUCUCUUCUUUUUCAUCAGUUGAUUGUAGACCAUUAAUUACCUAUGUCCUUUUUUGUUUCGGCUUUGCUUUGCAGUAAUAGUGCCCAGAUGUAAUGAUAGGAAAAUGUGCAAACCGGUUGUUGGUUCAUCUGGUGUACCUCUAAUAGCUAGAAAAAUGAAGGUAUAUAUCCUUUGAAAUAUUCAGUUUUUUAGUGUUAUCUAAACAAUGCUUUGCUUAGUCGACUAUUCCUAAAUUGUUUUGAAGUUUCAUGUUGCAUUUAUCCAGUUUGUAGAGGAUGCAAUUAAGUUCUAUAUGGGCGUUCUUGCGGCAUCUGAGGAUCCCUGUCUACUAGUUAGUGCAGCAUCAUUUAAGGCACCUUUGUUAAAGGCUGUCUCAUGGAUGGAAAAUAACUCAGAGAAGUUUUUUUGUUCCCAAAGUGACGGCGCUCAUUGUUGGACCCUCUUCAGCACUGCAGCUUAUGGAAAACGAAACAAGGUUCCACAGGUCUUUUUGCACAUAAAUGUGUGUCUUGUUUAAAAUACUUGUUUUCACAUGAUUAUAUGCUAGCAUUGGCACACUUUUUUUUAUUUUUUUUAAUC
rnacentral:lncRNA from 1 species